UCCCUAUAGUGAUGUUGCGUACUUGGCGGUGGUGCACACAUAGCCAUAUGCGCGAGUAGAGAACCAUUGACAAGACGGUAACUUGCAUGAAGGUGGCGCUGGUAGCGCCAGCUUUUGGGCAGUCGUCGACGGAUCCUCCUACAGGUUGUGGCGCUGGUAGCGACACUAUAGCUAUUGCCUUUUGCGAUCGGUUCCCUUUUUUUGUUUGAAGUCUGACGAUCCAGUUUCUAAUCGAUUGAUUCAGCGCUGCGGUGGCCUGGCUCGCGCCUCAACUCUAUUUAGGGCUGCAGGCGCCAGUUUGUAUGCAUUUUGGAAACUAACGCCAUCAGCCAUCCGCGCUGGGCCGGCCCAACUCAGACUUCCUUCGAAUUUCUAAAACGCAAAAAAAUGGUGCAUGCAAAGACAUUCGAUCCCCUGACUUGCUGUUAGUUGGAAUAAUGCCCAAACCAAUACACAGAUUUGGUAGUUUCCAUCCUUUCCAUUGUUUUCUUUUUCCUCUUUUCCUUUUUUCCAUUUUUCGUUUUCUGUUUUUUCCUUAUGAUGUAAUUUCUUCAAAUUCUUGAAGUUUUUUCAUUUUUAGUGAACUUUUUUCUUCAAAUCAAUGAACUAUUUUUGAAAAUCAUGAACUUUUUUUCAAACAGAAUGAAGUUUUUUUCAAUUUCAAUGAACUUUUUCCAAAUUCGAUGAACUUUUUUCAAAUCCAAUGAACUUGUUUCCAAGUCGAUGAACUUUUUUCAAAUUUGAUGAAUUAUUUUCAUAUUCGAUGAACUUUUAUUCAAAAUCGAUAAACUUUUUUUAAACUCAUAAACUCUUUUUGAGUUUGCUAAUCUUUUCAAGACAUAUUGAACUUUUCGCGAAGUAUUUUUGCAUGUUUGUGAACUUCAUUGAAAUCUGUGAACAUGUUUUGAAAUAAUUGAAACAUCUAAACGUUAUGUAAUAAAUAGCGCAUCUAUUUUGUUGUUCUUAAAAGUUCCACGCUGUAAGCAGUGUGUUGUAGUUAGAUGUUUGAGUGGUCAGCUGCGCUGAAUUUUAGCGUGAUGGAGCAAGUUCGAAUCUCGUCCACAGCAAUUUUUUGCGGGGUUGUUUUUCGCGGUGCGCGGUCUUGGGCCAGCCCACCCAGAUGUUGCUGCGAGCGCUAGUUCGGUUGCGCGGCGCAGAAGGCGUCCAAUAGGAGGUCCCCUUGACUCACGUGGACGCCAGCGGCCCAACGCCAUGCGACGCCAAGGCCCAGCGCUCUGGAAGAGCAUUUUAUUUUUGAGAAAUACAUACUGAUCCUAUAUAAAAAUUUGGGAGCAACUAAUUAACGAGCGCUCCUUCGGGAGCCUCGCAACGAUCAGCGCCACUUGGCGUGCUCUCAACCAUUCGCCACAUGUCGCACUCUGGCGCUUCCUCCGGAUUUUGUUUUUUAUUUUUCCGCACGCGUUUUUGGCUCUUUAAACGGUUUUUCUUUCAGGUUUUUUUUUGACGUUUUGGUUUUCCAUCGGUAGUCCCUAGCUUUUCAACCAAAAAAAAUUCGAAAUUUUUUUUUGCGCAAAAAACUCAUUUUUUCACGAGAGUCACGGUUUUGUUUUCGAGAGAGGCACGGCCGUGCCUCUUGGAAACGAAAAAAAACGCGUUUUCUAUUUUUUUUCCUUUCGUGAGAGGCACGGUUUUGCUUCCGUGAGAGGCACGGUUCUGCUUUCACGAGAUUCACGGCCGUGCCUCUUGGGAAUGAAAAAAAACACGUUUUCUAUUUUUCUUUCUUUCACGAGAGGCACGGUUUUGCUUCCGCGAGAAGGACGGUUGUGCUUUCGCGAGAGCCACGGCCGUGCCUCCUCGGAAACGAAAAAAAACGCAUUUUUUGUUUUUUUUUCUUUCGCGAGACGCACGGUUUUGCUUCUGCGAGAGGCACGGUUGUGAUUUCGUCAGAGGCACGGGCGUGCCUCUUUCGAAAAGGGAAAAAACCCGUGCUCCCGGUUUGGUUUUUCGUCCGGUAUUUUUUUUUGAAAAAAAAGUUCGUCAAAACCUAUCAACACGGGAUCUAGUUUUGAAGAUUUCAACGCGAGGAAUCCAAGGGCGAAAGAGGUUCGAGAUUUGGACGCACGGUUUAAGAGAUAAAACAUUUUGAAUAAAUGGAUCUUAGAAAAAAGGGAAAACUCCCAGGUUGCGACAAGUGACGCACAUGCAGCGCGCCACUUCUCGCAACCUGGGGAAGUUGGAGUGAUCUCCGUAAGGAGUACUCCUAAAUUAGUGAUUUCGUAAAAAUUUGAGGCCCCUAAAAUUUAUGGGCCCUAUGCGGGCCGCACAUUUUACACACCUAUGGGCCCGGCCCUGACUGUUUGCCUCCGAGGUCAUAUCAAACCAGCAUAAUCCCUGCACAGACACAAUGCAGGGGUUUUUUUGCGGUGCCGGGGGAGGUUUUGCUGUAGCCAGGUCUACCGAACCGUCGCCUAUUACAUGCGACGGGGGAGUGUCUCUCGAUCCCUCGUGUGUCUCAUCCCAAGCCCUACAGCCAUGGCGGAGGAGAGGGGUGCGCCAUCGCGAUCUAGUGGAGCAGAUGAGUUUGAUCUGGAGGGUUUGAUGAAAAACAUGGAAUUGCUUGAUGAGGAGUUGCACGAAGUUGUCAUCGGUAAGGAGGAGGCGCAGAAGUUCAAAGCUGAAGCCAGAUGGCUGGCGAUUGCCCGAGUGAAUACAGAUAGAACCUUUAGUUCCACGGCGUUCUUUGAUAAUAUGAAGUUCAUCUGGGGAUUGGCUCAAACGCCGAAAUUCCGUGAGGCAGGAGAAAAUCUAUUUAUCAUCCAACUUUUCUGUCUAGGAGUGAUCAUUGAGGAUUAUGACGGCAUGACGGAUCCUGAAGCCGUGGUGUUGCGCGAGAGUGGACGAUAACAGGGGAAAAACAGUUGAUGCACAUUUGGACAGCAGAGGAGAAAAUGCAGAUACUGAAUAUGCACGUGUUUUCCUCUUCCUUUCUCCCCCUCGCGUCGCCUCCCCCUGGGUGGCGCUAGGGGCCCCGAAACCCUAGCGCCGCAAGCACCUUCUUGCCGCCUCCUCCUGCCGCCGCUGCCGCCGGCGUGGGCCGCGGUGGCGGCGGGCCCGGUGCCGAAGGUACAUGGGCGGGUGGAUGCGGCGGAUCCCAUCUGAGGCGGCGGGGGCGGCUCCUCUCGUGCGAUCUAACGGCAGCGGCUUGGACGGCGACUCCGGGCUGUGCGGCGGGGCCGGAGCACCAUAGCCGGCGGCGGCAGCCCUGAAUGGACGGCGGCGGUGGAGCGCCCCAUCCGCGGUAGGCUGUCCUUGUCGUGAUGGUGACGGCGGUCACUGCGGAUCCAACGCCUCGUUUGGAUCCGUCGCGGGGAGGCCUUUCGCCGACCGGAGGCGCGUGGUGGGACCGGUAAGGAGAUGUCGGAUCUCUUUCAGAGUACUGACGGCGACAUACGUGUUCGUGGCGAGGUUUCGCUCGGUUCCAGCCAGCCGCGAGGAUGGGAAGACGUGGCUUCAGGUGAAAAUCGUGCCUGACUGUGGUCUUGGCGGACAAUGGUGGCCUCUUAGACGUUGUUCCCUUCUGUAGGCAUCGUCAUUGCAGGUCACAUCAACCUGAUCGGGAAGUUUUGGGGGAAACCCUAAAUCUGGGUCUACCGGAUCGGACGAUGACAGUGCCCUCGGUAUCGUUCUCCCUCAUGGGGGCAUCGUUUUGGAGCGAGUGCUGGUUGGAAGGGACAAGAGGUGGAGGGGUGGUUCAUUUGGUCCAUUGAUGACGGCGGAUCUCGGCGGGGUGGCGCAGUGGAGACUCGACGCCUGAUGGGUGGAGAUGGACUCGCGCAAAAGGGUGACUCUGCCUGGCGUCGUGGUGGCGUCGGCGGCAGUUAGACCGGCCAAGAUUGAUGCAGCAGUACAACUCUGAAGAUGGAUUGGUGGCACGUGGCUGCGGCGGCCUCACACCCGGCAGGCGUCCUGGUUGAGGAGCACGCCGGACUGGUGGGUGCCCAUACCCGGCAGGCGUCCUGGUUGGGACCUCAAGUCUUAGAUGUUACGUUUGGCUGCGAGGUCUGUUUGGUAUUAGGCCCAAACUUUCUGCGCCCCUACAUCAACUGGAUAGGGAUAGCGACAGAUGUUGCUUAGUUGGUGGCUUUAGUCUUACUGUUGUAUGAGUAUAUAAGGUCUUAUGUCAAUAAUUAAUAAAAUGGCCGUAUGCAUCGUCCAGAUGCAGAGGCCGGGGUGGUCCUCCUUUUCUAAAAAACGCACAAGUGAACCAAUACCGAGCACAGUUACAGACCGGGGUGAAUGGGUGAAUCUGGGCAAAACAACUGAUGUACUUGUGAAUAAUUUUGGUCAAAAAGAUGUGUCUUCUGAACAUGCAAGUGCGUCAGAUCUAUUAGCUAGCAAUGGCUCAAUUCAUGGUGAACCGAGUGUGCAGAAUACGCAAUCUAGCAAGCAGGUCACGUCAGAGGAUGGUGAUCUGGAGAAAGAAGAGGCGAGGGUCAGAAAUAAAAGACCCUCUAGGGACAACACACAAGUUCAGCUCGUUGUUGCUGCUGGUCUUAAUGAAUGCACAGGAACUGAACAAGGGGGUGAUGCACUGUCUCUGGUACACAAGUCACCGACGGGAACCCCUCCAUUACCAGCUGUUUAUGUUUCACCGAGGAAGCAAAAUAAACGUCUGAAGAAGUGUCAGUGGAGAGAUCUAGGGCUGUUGUGGAGGAGAAACAACAACAAUAUGCAUCAUCAGCGGGCUCUCCCGAGUGUUGGAAAUAUUGUAACGCCUCUGUAACGUACGUGGUAGCCUUGAGCUUCAUGUAUAGGAUUAGGAGAGUAGUUAGAGUAUCCCUUUAUCUUUCUAUCCUUUCUUCUCUCCCUCUCAUGUAAUCCUCCUCCACGGUUGGAGAUCUCAACCGCACCAUGUACCCCUACGAGACUAAUCCUCUCGUCACAAUCAAUAAAUAUCUCGCGGGCUCUCUGUAUGAGAGUUGAGACGCUUCACCAAUCCUAACAUGGUAUUCAGAGCCAUCUUCUUCCUCCACAUCUAGCUCUCCACCAGAUCAAACCUAGCCGCCAUCAAAAACCUCCUUCAGAUCAGAACCUAGCACCAUGUCUUCUUCCUCCAGUUCGGCUUCUUUCUCUAGCUUGAACAACACGAUCUCCGAACCCCUUAGCCGCACCAACUACAUCCUAUGGCGUGCCCAGGCUCGCUCUCAGAUCAUGGGAGCCGGCCUCUAUGGGUAUCUUGACCAAACAAUCCCUGAACCUACCAAAACAAUCUCGUCAAAAAACUCUGAAGGAAAGGAACAGAUUGUUCCAAAUCCCGCCUACACCCCUUGGUUAAUCCAAGACCAGCAGAUCAUAGCCUACCUGCUGAGAAAUCUCUUCAAAGAAAUCCUAGUUCAGGUUGCCUCGAUGGAGACAUCGCGUGCGAUCUGGACAUCUCUUGCAAACAUGUUCACAGCCCAAUCCGCAUCCCGUGUGAAUAACCUCAGAAUCUCUCUGACCAAUGCCCACAAAGGUUCCCAAUCUGCUGCUGCUUAUUUUGGUCAUAUGAGGUCUCUUUCGGAUGAACUUGCAGCUGCAGGAAGGCCUAUCGGGGAACCGGAGCUACUGUCCUUCAUCAUCGCGGGGCUGGACAUGGAUUACCAGCCCAUCAUCUCGGCCCUGGAUGUCCGCGUCGACCCCGUCUCCGUUGAUGAGCUGUUCGCCAUGGUGGCGAACUUUGACCAGCGGGUCGAGCUUUUCCAUGGCUCAGGUGCGGGCGGCUUCAAAUCCUCAGCCAACAUGGCUGCGAGGAAUCGUGGCGGCGGCGGCAAAAACAACUACCGAGGCUCACCCAAACCCACUAAUGGUGGUGGUGGCGGGUACCGCGGUGGUGGUGGAGGCAACAAUGGCGGUGGCGGCUACAACAACCCCGACUACAACAAAAGCGGCAAUGGUGGUGGUCCUGUCUACCACAACAACAGUGGCCGCGGUCACCACUACAACAACAACAAUCAAGGGCGCCCCUUCUACAACAACAACCAGGGGCGCCAAGGUGGCUACGGCGGUGGCUACCGUGGUGGCUAUGGUGGCGGCAACAACUUUCAACGAUAUGAUGAGUAUGAGGGCAAAUGUCAAAUCUGUAAAAAUAACUAACCACAUAGCAAAAGAUUGUCUUUGGCGCUAUGAUGAAAAUUGGAAGAAGAAGAAAGUUGCAGCCGCCGCAGAUGUGUCCUAUGGUGUGGACACGAACUGGUAUGCCGAUACCGGUGCUACUGAACAUCUCACUCCCGACGUGGAAAGGUUGACCAUGCAAGAGAAGUACCACGACCAUGAUCAAAUCAACACCGCAGCAAACGGUCAAGGUAUGAUGAUAACUCACGUUGGUCCAUCUACUAUUAAAACCCCUCAUAGCGAUAUUCGUCUCAAUGAUGUCCUACUUGUUCCACAUGCAUAAAAAAGUCUUGCUUCCGUUCAUAAAAUCACUCUUGAUAAUGGGGUCUUCAUAGAAUUUCAUCCGUUUUUCUUUUUGAUCAAGGAUCAGGCAACACGGAAGGUCCUUUAUCGCGGUAGAUGCGUGGAUGGUCUCUACCCAUUGAUUCCUACACUUUGCAAGUUCAAUAAACAAGCCUUUGGAGCCAUUAGAGUUUCUUCAGAAAGGUGGCACAAUCGCUUGGGCCACCCGUCUUUUUCCAUUGUUUAUCAAAUUCUUAGCAAGAAUAAACUCCCAUUUGUUGGUGAGCGAAAUUGUGAAACUAUUUGUGAUUCAUGCCAGCGUGCAAAAAGUCAUCAAUUACCAUAUUCUAUUUCUACUAGUGUGUCUGUUAAAAGCUUGCAAUUGAUUUUUUCUGAUGUGUGUCCAGCACCCUCUUCCGUUGGUAGACACACUUAUUAUGUGAGCUUUAUUGACGACUACAGUAAAUUCACGUGGAUUUAUCUUCUUAAGAAAUGUUCCGAUGUCUUUCAAGUUUUCCAUAACUUUCAAGCUCUAGUUGAGAGAAAAUUUGAUUGUAAAAUCAUUGCCAUGCAAUCAGACUGGGGUGGUGAGUACGAGAAACUAAACUCGUUUUUCCAAAAGAUAGGCAUCUCUCAUCACGUCUCUUGCCCACAUGCUCACCAACAAAACGGUAGUGUUGAACGCAAGCAUCGCCAUAUCGUUGAAGUAGGCCUUGCAUUACUUGCUGCUGCUUCCAUGCCACUAAAGUUUUGGGAUGAAGCCUUCUUGACUGCUGUUCACCUCAUUAAUAUCUUGCCCAGUCGCGUCAUUAACAAUGAAACACCUACAGAACGUCUUCUUCAUCACAAACCAGACUACACUCCCCUUCAUGUCUUUGGUUGUGCGUGUUGGCCAAAUCUCCGUCCAUACAACAAUCGAAAACUUAUGUUUCGCUCCAAGCAGUGUGUUUUUAUUGGCUAUAGCGCUCAACAUAAAGGAGUCAAGUGUCUCGAUGUAGCUACUGGCCGAGUCUACAUCUCUAGAGAUGUUAUUUUUGACGAGACUCUUUUUCCUUUUGAAAAACUUUAUCCCAAUGCCGAUACCCUUCUUCGUCAAGAAAUCCUUCUCUUGCCACCAUCUCUUUCUGUCCUUGAUCAUGAGGGUGCUAAUAGUAGUUCUGACCUAUUUGUGACUAAUCAUCAUACCAUGGCUAAGUCUACUACUGCAGGAACAAUUAUUCCCGGUGAAAACAGAGUACAAAAUGCUGAAACAGGUGGUCAUUUUAUGUGCCCCCCUUCAGGAGACAACACAACCCGAGGAGGAUCCGCCUCGGGAUCAACUCCGCUGCAGGCGGCAGCGUGCUCCGUCUCGGGAUCCGCCUCUGGCACUGAUCUUGUCAGGCCCGCCUCUGGCGCUCCUGGCACUGAUUCCGCUGGCCCCACGUCCCCUCCUACCGAUGCCAGCGGUGACAAAAACGUCGCCUCCCCGCGCCAAUCCCCGGGUGACACGGGGCGCACCUGCCACGGGCGGACGCGGUCACCUGCCUCGACCGGGCCCGUCACGGUCUUCCCUGCCUCGCCUGUUUCGACCGAGCCCGCGGCCCGCUGCGGUCUCCCCUGCGCGCUCACCUGGUUGGGUCGCCCCGCCUGACUUUGCCUUGGGAUCGGGUGCGGCUGCUCCUGGCGCCGAAGCUGCUGGGGGAUCGGCAUCUGCUGAUACGGCUGAUCCUGCUGGAUCUUCUGCGCCGGAUCCCUCCAUGGUCAUUCCUGCAGCGCCACGCACACGCCUACAAAAGGGAGUUUCUACCCGAAUUAAUUACAAAAACUUCUCUAAAUAUGGAUUAUCUUGCAUGGCAGGUGAACCUAAAAAUCUAAUGGAUGCACUUGGUGAUGAUAGGUUGAAAACAGCUAUGAAUGACGAAUUUGUGGCUUUACAGAGGAAUAAAACUUGGCACUUGGUUCCUCCUCAACAAGGCAGAAACCUCAUUGACUGCAAAUGGGUAUAUCGCAUUAAGAAGAAGUCAGAUGUCACUAUAGAUCGUUACAAGGCCAAACUUGUGGUGAAAGGUUUCAAGCAAAGGUAUGGGCUAGAUUAUGAGGACACUUUUAGUCCUGUCGUUAAAGCUGCAACCAUCCGUCUUGUGCUAUCAAUUGCUGUUUCUAGGGGGUGGAGUCUCAGACAGCUAGAUGUGCAGAAUGCGUUUCUACAUGGCGUUCUGGAAGAAGAUGUGUAUAUGAAACAGCCUCCUGGGUUUGAGGACAAAAACAAGCCAUUCCAUAUAUGCAAACUUGAUAAAGCGUUGUAUGGUCUAAAGCAAGCUCCGAGAGCAUGGUACUCAAGACUCAGUAUGAAGCUUCAGGCACUUGGGUUUGCUCCUUCGAAAUCUGACACCUCACUAUUUAUCUUUACCAAGCCACAAGUAUCCAUGUUUGUUCUCAUAUACGUUGAUGAUAUAAUUGUUACUAGCUCCUCUAAUGAUGUCGUGGCAAAGUUGCUUAAGAGUUUGGGCUCUGAGUUUGCUCUCAAGGAUUUGGGAGAUUUGCAUUUCUUUUUGGGUAUUGAGGUUCAGAAAAAUGAUGAUAGCCUUCAUCUAUCUCAAGCUAAAUAUGUAACUGAGUUGUUGAGCAGAAUUGGUAUGCAAAACUGUAAACCGUCACCAACACCAUUGUCCAGUUCGGAACCCUUAUCUUUGACAACAGGAGAACUUCUGGAAAGGGAGGAUAUCACUAGUUACAGAAGCAUUGUUGGUGGUCUUCAGUACUUGACUCUCACACGACCUGAUAUUUCCUUUGCAGUUAACAAUGUUUGUCAAUUUCUUCAUGCACCAACCACUGCACAUUGGAUAGCAGCUAAGAUAAUUUUGAGGUAUGUGAAGAAUACAAUGACUGUUGGUCUCACAUUUAGAAAGUCAUCAUCUACUCUUAUAAGUGCUUUCUCUGAUGCGGAUUGGGCUGGUUGCUUGGAUGAUAGGACAUCCGCUGGUGGUUUUGCCAUUUUCUAUGGACCUAAUUUAAUUUCUUGGUGUGCAAAGAAACAAGCAACUGUGUCUAGGUCGAGUACUGAAGCAGAGUAUAAAGCCUUAGCCAAUGCCACAGCAGAAGUCAUUUGGGUUCAGUCUAUGUUGAAAGAACUUGGCAUUUCAGAAGUUCAUCCUCCAUGUCUGUGGUGUGACAAUCUUGGUGCAACAUAUUUAUCUGCUAAUCCAGUUUUCCAUGCCAGGACUAAGCAUAUUGAGAUAGAUUUUCACUUUUUCAGAGAACGAGUUGCAAAUAACCAGUUAGAGGUCAGGUUUAUUCCCUCAAAGGAUCAGCUUGCAGAUGGUUUCACGAAGGCAUUACCCACAAAAGAUUUUGAAGAAUUUCGACGUAAUCUCAACUUAGUAUCGUUGUGAUUAAGGGGGAGUGUUGGAAAUAUUGUAACGCCUCUAUAACGUACGUGGUAGCCUUGAGCUUCACGUAUAGGAUUAGGAGAGUAGUUAGAGUAUCAUUUUAUCUUUCUAUCCUUUCUUCUCUCCCUCUCAUGUAAUCCUCCUCCAUGGUUGGAGAUCUCAACCGCACCAUGUACCCCAACGAGACUAAUCCUCUCGUCACAAUCAAUAAAUACCUCGCGGGCUCUCUGUAUGAGAGUUGAGACGCUUCACCAAUCCUAACACCGAGGAGUGCCGCCGGGUUCAAUGAGUAUCAUUUGUUGAAACUGUCGAAGUGCGGGCAAAGCCUCGACAGUCCGAGAGCUCCGCGAGAUCGCGAGAAAAUUUGUCCCUACCUUGCUAUGUAUUGUAGAAACCCAGAUUGAUAGAUCAAGGGUAGAAAGUUUGGCAAACUCAAUUGGUUUUGACAAGUCGUAUGCUAUUAACAGUAAUGGUAAAAGUGGAGGUAUUGGAAUUUUUUGAAAUAAUUCAAUAAACGUUGAUAUUUUGGGUUGUUCAGAUUAUCAUGUUGAUUUUGAUGUCAGGGAGGAUGGGUAUGACCCUUGGAGAAUGACAGUAGUAUAUGGAGAGGCUCAAACUCAUCGAUGGUAUAAAACGUGGGACACAUUAAAAAACAUUUUUAAUACAAGCUUACUUCCAUGGCUGUGCAUUGGAGACUUCAAUGAAGUACUACGCCAGCUGAACAUGAGGGGAUGGGGCAGAGGACUAAUGCUCAAAUCCAAGGUUUUCGAGAUACAAUGGACAUUUGUAUAUUAGCGGACAUUGGCUUCAAGGGCAAUUUUUGGACUUUCGAGAAAAAGGUCACAGGGGGAUCCUAUACUGGAGUAAGGCUUGAUCGAGCUUUGGGGACGGCUGAGUGGUGUGCUCAGUUUCCUUUCGCAAGCUUGAGACACUUGACAGCGGCAACGUCGGAUCAUUCUCCGAUCCAUCUUGAGCUAAACAGAGAACAAUCAAGUAGCAAGCAGGUCAAUAGGCAAUUCAGAUUUGAGGUGGCCUGGAUGAAACUCAUGAAACGCUGAAGGAAAUGAUCCAGGAGGCCUGGAUGAGGUAGCCUGCGUCACGUGUGGAGGAAGUGAAACAAAAACUUGCUGAUUUAUCAUCUAAACUCACGGUGUGGAACCGGGACACUUUCGGGUCUGUUCGCAAGGAGAUAAAGAGUUUAAAAAAGGAACUGGGCCGGUUCAGAGGUAUACCGUCCCGGUUUUGUCCUAGUCAUGCAGAGAUAAAGAUCAAUGAAAGACUAGUGGAAUUAUAUCAUAGGGAAGAAAUAUUAUGGCGACAGAGAUCUAGGAUCAAUUGGCUAUCAGCUGGAGAUAAAAACACAAAAAAAUUCAUAUGCGAGCAAGCUUGAGGAGGAAGAAAAACUUAAUAAAAGCACUGCCAUAUGCACUAGGGAUCAUGGUUGAUUACCCAGCCGAGCUGAAGGACAUGGUUUCGAAUUUUUUCAACAGCUUGUAUACGUCAGAGGGCGUUACCAAUAUGGAUGCAGUGCUUGAUCAUGUCCCUUGCAAGGUAACCUCGGAUAUGAAUGAUAUCCUGUGUGCUGAUUAUACACAAGAGGAGAUGAAAAUAGCUCUUUUUCAAAUGUACCCCACAAAGUCUUCGGGGCCAGACGGUUUCCCAGCACACUUUUAUCAGAGGCACUGCGAUGUAUGUGGGGAGGAGGUUGUUGGGGAAUGUUGCAGAAAAUUAAAAUUUUUCCUACGGUUUCACCAAGAUCCAUCUAUGAGUUCAUCUAGCAACGAGUCAUGGGAGAGUGAUUGCAUCUACAUACCACUUGUAGAUCACGUGCGGAAGCGUUCAAUGGAACGGGGAUGAUGGAGUCGUACUCGCCGUGAUUCAGAUCACCGAUGACCUAGUGCUGAACGGACAGCACCUCCGCGUUCAACACACGUACGGAGCGGAUGACGUCUCCUCCUUCUUGAUCCAACAAGGGGGAAGGAGAGGUUGAUGAUGAUCCAGCAGCACGACGGCGUGGUGGUGGAUGCAGCAGAACUCCGGCAGGGCUUCGCUAAGCAACUACGGGAGGAGGAGGAGGUGUAGCAGGGAGGAGGGAGGUGCCAGGCCUUCAGGGUGCGGCUGCCCCUCCCUCCCCUACCUUUAUAUAGUGGCAAGAGAGAGGGGGGGGCAGCCUUGCCCCUUCCUCCAAGGAAGGGGUGCGGCCAAGGGGGGAGGAGUCCAUCCUCCCCAAGGCACCUCGGAGGUGCCUUGCCCCUUUAGGACUCUCCCCUCUCUCUUAUCUCUAGGCGCAUGGGCCUCUAGGGGCUGGUGCCCUUGGCCCAUAUAGGCCAAGGCGCACCCCCUACAGCCCAUGUGCCCCCCCGGGGCAGGUGGACCCCUGGUGGAACCCCCGGACCCCUUUCGGCACUCCCGGUACAAUACCGAUAACGCGCGAAUCUGUUCCGGCGACCAAAAUAAGACUUCCCAUAUAUAAAUCUUUACCUCCGGACCAUUCCGGAACUCCUCGUGACGUCCGGGAUCUCAUCUGGGACUCCGAACAACAUUCGGUUUGCUGCAUACUCAUAUUCAUACAACCCUAGCGUCACCGAACCUUAAGUGUGUAGACCCUACGGGUUCGGGAGACAUGCAGACAUGACCGAGACGGCUCUCGGGCAAUAACCAACAGCGGGAUCUGGAUACCCAUGUUGGCUCCCACAUGCUCCUCGAUGAUCUCAUCGGUUGAACCACGAUGUCGAGGAUUCAAACAACCCCGUAUACAAUUCCCUUUGUCAAUCGGUAUUUUACUUGCCCGAGAUUCGAUCGUCGGUAUCCCAAUACCUCGUUCAAUCUCGUUACCGGCAAGUCACUUUACUCGUACCGUAAUGCAUGAUCCCGUGACCAAACACUUGGUCACUUUGAGCUCAUUAUGAUGAUGCACUACCGAGUGGGCCCAGUGAUACCUCUCCGUCAUACGGAGUGACAAAUCCCAGUCUCGAUCCGUGUCAACCCAACAGACACUUUCGGAGAUACCUGUAGUGCACCUUUAUAGUCACCCAGUUACGUUGUGACGUUUGGUACACCCAAAGCACUUCCUACGGCAUCCGGGAGUUACACGAUCUCAUGGUCUAAGGAAGAGAUACUUGACAUUGGAAAAGCUCUAGCAAAACGAACUACACGAUCUUGUGCUAUGCUUAGGAUUGGGUCUUGUCCAUCACAUCAUUCUCCUAAUGAUGCGAUCCCGUUAUCAACAACAUCCAAUGUCCAUAGUCAGGAAACCAUGACUAUCUGUUGAUCAACAAGCUAGUCAACUAGAGGCUCACUAGGGACAUAUUGUGCUCUAUGUAUUCACACGUGUAUUACGAUUUCCGGAUAAUACAAUUAUAGCAUGAAUAAAAGACAAUUAUCAUGAACAAGGAAAUAUAAUAAUAAUACUUUUAUUAUUGCCUCUAGGGCAUAUUUCCAACAGAGGUGACACAGGUGGUGCUUCGGAUUGUGAAGGAUGAAGAGAGUGCUGAAUGCAUUAAUGACACUAUUCUAUCAUGAACAAGGAAAUAUAAUAAUAAUACUUUUAUUAUUGCCUCUAGGGCAUAUUUCCAACAGUCUCCCACUUGCACUAGAGUCAAUAAUCUAGUUACAUUGUGAUGAAUCGAACACCCAUAGAGUUCUGGUGUUGAUCAUGUUUUGCUCGCGGAAGAGGUUUAGCCAAUGGAUCUGCGACAUUCAGAUCCUUAUGCACUUUGCAAAUUUCUAUGUCCCCAUCUUGAACAUUUUCACGAAUGGAGUUGAAGCGACGCUUGAUGUGCCUGGUCUUCUUGUGAAACCUGGGCUCCUUGGCAAGUGCAAUAGCUCCAGUGUUGUCACAGAAGAGUUUGAUCGGCUCCGACGCAUUGGGUAUGACUCCUAGGUCGGUGAUGAACUCCUUCACCCAAAUUGCUUCAUGUGCUGCCUCCGAGGCUGCCAUGUACUCCGCUUCACAUGUAGAUCCCGCCACGACGCUCUGCUUGCAGCUGCACCAGCUUACUGCUCCACCAUUCAACAUAUACACGUAUCCGGUUUGUGACUUUGAGUCAUCCAGAUCUGUGUCGAAGCUAGCGUCGACGUAACCCUUUACAAUGAGCUCUUCGUCACCUCCAUAAACGAGAAACAUGUCCUUUGUCCUUUUCAGGUACUUCAGGAUAUUCUUGACCGCUGUCCAGUGUUCCUUGCUGGGAUUACUUUGGUAUCUUCCUACCAAACUUACGGCAAGGUUUACAUCAGGUCUUGUACACAGCAUGGCAUACAUAAUAGAUCCUAUGGCUGAGGCAUAGGGGAUGACACUCAUCUCUUCUCUAUCUUUUGCCGUGGUCGGGCAUUGAGCCGAGCUCAAUUUCACACCUUGCAAAACAGGCAAGAACCCUUUCUUGGACUGAUCCAUUUUGAACUUCUUCAAAAUCUUAUCAAGGUAUGUGCUUUGUCAAAGACCUAUGAGGCGUCUCGAUCUAUCCCUAUAAAUUUUGAUGCCUAAUAUGUAAGCAGCUUCUCCAAGGUCCUUCAUUGAAAAACUCUUAUUCAAGUAGGCCUUAAUGCUGUCCAAAAGUUCUAUAUCAUUUCCCAUCAAAAGUAUGUCAUCUACAUAUAAUAUGAGAAAUGCUACAGAGCUCCCACUCACUUUCUUGUAAACGCAGGCUUCUCCAUAAGUUUGCAUAAACCCAAAUGCUUUGAUCAUCUCAUCAAAGCGAAUGUUCCAACUCCGAGAUGCUUGCACCAGCCCAUAAAUGGAUCGCUGGAGCUUGCAUACCUUGUUAGCAUUCUUAGGAUCGACAAAACCUUCUGGCUGCAUCAUAUACAGCUCUUCCUUAAGUUAACCGUUAAGGAAUGCCGUUUUGACGUCCAUCUGCCAUAUCUCAUAAUCAUAGUAUGCGGCAAUUGGUAACAUGAUUCGGACGGACUUAAGCUUCGCUAUGGGAGAGAAAGUCUCAUCAUAGUCAAUCCCUUGAACUUGUCGAUAACCCUUAGCGACAAGUCGAGCUUUAUAGAUGGUAACAUUACCAUCCGCGUCUGUCUUCUUCUUAAAGAUCCAUUUGUUUUCUAUCGCUCGCCGAUCAUCGGGCAAGUCUGUCAAAGUCCAUACUUUGUUUUCAUACAUGGAUCCUAUCUCGGAUUGCAUGGCUUCAAUCCAUUUGUUGGAAUCUGGGCCCGCCAUCGCUUCUUCAUAGUUCGAAGGUUCACUGUUGUCUAACAACAUGAUUUCCAGGACAGGGUUGCCGUACCACUCUGGUGUGGAACGUGUCCUAGUGGACCUACGAAGUUCAGUAGCAACUUGAUCCGAAGUACCUUGAUCAUCAUCAUUAAUUUCCUCUCCAGUCGGUGUAGGCAGCACAGGAACAUUUUCCUGAGCUGCACGACUUUCCGGUUCAAGAGGUAGUACUUCAUCGAGUUCUACUUUCCUCCCACUUACUCCUUUCGAGAGAAAAUCUUUUUCCAGAAAGGAUCCGUUCUUGGCAACAAAGAUCUUGCCUUCGGAUCUAAGGUAGAAGGUAUACCCAAUGGUUUCCUUAGGGUAUCCUAUGAAGACGCAUUUUUCCGACUUGGGUUCGAGCUUUUCAGGUUAAAAUCUCUUGACAUAAGCAUCGCAUCCCCAAACUUUUAGAAACGACAGCUUAGGUUUCUUCCCAAACCAUAAUUCGUACGGUGUUGUCUCAACGGAUUUAGACGGUGUCGUGGUUCUAAGUAUGACAGUAGAAUGGGGGGUAGGUAUGGAGAGGCAAGAUCCUAGCUAUGGAGUAGUUGUGUACGCAAGAGAUUUACGAGUUCAGGCCCUUCUCGGAGGAAGUAAUAGCCCUACGUCUCGGAGCCCGGAGGCGGUCGACUGUAUUAUAUGCGUAUGUGUUACAGGGGUGCGAACCCUUCUACCUGUGGAGAGGGGUCGCUUAUAUAGAGUGCGCCAGGACCCCAGCCUGCCCACGUAAGAGAGGGUUUAAGGUGCGUUAAGGCCAGGCGUUACUGGUAACGCCUUACAUAAAGUACCAUUAUGACCAUAAAGGCUAUUUAACUACAGACCGUUUAGAAACCGAGUGGCUCUUGGACUCCUGGUGGUCGAGUGGGUCUUCAUGGUCGAGUGUCUUUGAAUCUGUCGAGUGGAAAUCUACCAGGUCGACUGGAAGGCUACUUCUCUUGUGAGUCUCCUUGAGGAGGGUUCCUUUGGGUAGGUCUAUGACCCUACCCCAGGUAUAUGACUUCAUCAUUAGCCCCCAAAUGGAUCGAGGUUUGAGUGAGGAAGGAGUUGGUGAUCUUUCCGACCUGUUCUUCGUGUUGUGAGUGCGUCUUGCUCUGGAUCAACGACCUUUUAGUGAUGGCAUGAACUUCUCUUUCAGUCGCCUUGAUCCAUUCUUCACGUUUGCCGAGUGAACUCUGCGAACCUGAGGAUUUCUGAGCGAUGGAUCGGAGGAAAUCAGUUAUCUGACGAGUUGUUCUGCGGUUAGCGGAUUUUGCGGGAUCCGAAUUUUGGGAAGCGCGCGAAGCGGAGAAAACCGCGGCACUCGGAUGGGAUAGGAUGAUGAUGCCUCGAUCUUCGCACCGCCUUUUGCGCCACGUAUCAUGCGCGCGCCUAUUGUGGGAUCGCGACGGGAUUGCCUGGGCCUACCGGUCAGCCACUCGGAAGCGGUCCCCUUAUAAAGCGUUGGGCAGGCAUUUUGAACAGUACGACCUCAGACUUCUCCUCUCUCCGCCUCCAAAUCUUCUCGCCGUGCUCUUCGUCUGUCCAGCGCCGAAGCUCGGAACUUGUCUCGCCGGCGAACAUGGUGAAGGAGAAGACCGCAGCCCUGGAACGGGUGAAGAAGGCGGCGGCGAAGGCCAAGGGGAGAGCGCCCAGCCGGGGCGGCUCCUCUUCGCGGUCCAAGCUGCCGCAGGGCUGGGUCCAAGGAGACUGGAUCCGCUCGACCAUCACCGAGGAGGAUCUCGCCGAUCUGGCCAAUGAAGGACUGAUCUCUCAUGGGUCGGCGAGGCUUUCGGGCAUGGAGUGGCAACCACAGCCUGAAGAGGGUGAGUGCGUCCUCCUGGCCACCCACGUAGACCGGGGGUUCUCUCUGCCGCCAAAUCCUUUCUUCCGGGGGUUUUUGAACUUUUUUGGAGCCAACUCCAUCAUUUUACUCAGAACUCCAUCGUCUAUCUUGCUGCUUUCGUUUCGCUAUGCGAGAAUUUCUUUGGUUGUCGACCGCACUGGGGUCUCUUCAAGCACAUAUUCACCUGUCGCUCUCAGACGGUGAAGAAAACGAGCCCGAAUGACGAGAGGACCCAAGUAAUCCAGAUGUGUGGGGGACUCAGGGUCCAGAUGAGGGGGAAGAGCUCCUUUCCAGCUAUGACUCUCCCCGACUCGGUUAGAGGGUGGCAGUCGACCUGCUUCUACUGCCAAGACCAGCCGACGUCGGGGCAGUCGACUGGUCUCCCUCCUUUCUCCAUGAGUCGAGUGAACAAGCCAUCUUCCCUGAAGGUGUUACCAGAGGAAAGGCCCCAAGUAAAGUUGCUGAUGGAGCAUGUAGUCCAGCUUAUUCGCGAUGGGGUGACUGGCAUGGAUCUCCUGGAGGUUUUUCUCGGACGGUGUAUUCAGCCACUUCAAUACCGAGGUCAUCCGAUGUGGAUGUACUCCGGUACGGAUGAUACCUCUCGGGUCCAUCUAGAGGAGGUCGAUGAUGCCACGCUGGAGAAGUGGAUGACUGCCAUCACGGGAAACAAAGACAACCCUCGCGGAGCUAGGAGGAUCCCACCACUCGACCAUAGUUACCAACCAGACCAGGUAUAACCACUUGUCUCCGACUGUGAUUCUGUUGCAUUCAUUCUGUUUUGAUGCCAAUUCGUCGACUGACUUUCACCUUGUUUCGUUGUCUUCUAGGUCACCACUGAGAUGUACUCGAGUCCCAACGGGGCGCAGGAAACAGUCGAAGAAGAAGAAGGAAGUGGAGGUGAAAGCCCGGCGGAAUGGGAGUCCAACGGUGAGGAGGAUGAGGAGGAUGAUAGUUCUGAUGACGAGGAGGACGAGGAAGAAGAGGAGGAAGACGUCGAUCCUCCUUGCUUGGAGGGAAGGUCCAAGCUGACGCAUGAUCCGGCGGCCGGGCACGGUAAAGCGGUUGUGCCCGCUGGGCAGUCGACAAAGCGACCAAGGACAGCUUCUCCUGCGCCGACCGAGAAACCGCCGAAACAACCUCGAGUGACAUCGUCAAAGCCGGCGAAGGCCCUACCCAAGAUGCGAAUGGUCAUCCCCACCAUCUCCGGGUAACCAACAGAACCUUGUAUUUCCUUUUUCAACAUGAGUGAACUUUUGGUCGACUCGAUGACUGAUCAGCCGAUUCUUGAAAUCUACAGCGCCACUACCUCCGAGACUUCGGCCAAGCACGAAUAUCAAGAAAUGGCAGACGCGGCCACCUCCAACCUUGGUGAGAUCCCUGAGGUUUCACUUUUAGUCGACUGGAGCUUUCAGUCGAUUGGACUUCCAUGUUUACUUCUGAAUCCUUCUUGUAGUUCCGCCUCACAUCAUUGAUCUCCCCGAUGAUGACGAGGAAGCGCCGUUGAGGAAGAGGAAGAACAAGAAAGUGCCUGCUGGCAAGGUUGCUCAAGUCGCGGUGAUUCCUGAGACGCUGAUUUCUGAAGGAGGCAACCCCACUCGGACUUCUGUGUCUUUCGCUGUACCGCUGACAAGUACCCGACCCACUUCGUCGAUUGUUGAUCCACUAUCUCUCUUUGCUACACACCACGUCCCGAAAGACCAAGUAAGUGCUGCUAAGGAGGCCAUACGCCAGGCAGGGAUCAUGAUGGAGCAGGUGAAAGUGGUCCGAGAGGCUAGUCAGGCAGCCUACGACGCUAGUUCCGUUCUCCAGAGCAAUGUCCAAGUAAGUCAGUCGUUGCCUGUUGCUUGCUUUGUUAGGAUAUGCUACCUGAAACUGCUUCUUUCUGGAUAUUUCCAUAUCUAUACACCCACUGGGUGUUUUUGUCGAUUGAACUUUUGUGGGGGCACGCUGAGUGCACCCAUUGGGUGUAGUCCCCGAGACUAUGGUCGACUGCGUGCAGUCGGCUAUAGUCUUUAUGUUGUGAUCUUCUUCACUCGACCUGGACGGAUCAAGUUGAAUGGAACCGAAAAACCGGUGGGGGCACGCUAAGUGCACCCACUGGGUGUAGUCCCCGAGACUAUGGUCGACUGCGUGCAGUCGACUAUAGUCUAAAGAACUGUUUUUUUUACUGCGGCUGACCGCCGACAAUUAGCCAUGGUUUUAGAAUCAUAACUUUUUGCCUCUUUUGGUCGACUGAUCGAACCAAAUCGGUAAACCAGUGGGGGCACGCUGAGUGCACCCGCUGGGUGUAGUCCCCGAGACUACUGCCGAAUGUUUUGAUUCGACCGUAGUCUUAGAAAUGCUACUAUUCUUCCUUAAUCACUCGGAAGUGCUCUGUCUUUGAUGUCUUUCGUUGGUUGACUCUUUGCAGAAAUCUUGCGAGCUUGUGGCUCUCUAUACUGAGUUAGAGAACAAGCAGAUCCAGCUCAAUCUCGAUUUGAAGCUUGCUCAGGAGAAUUUGCAGAAGGCGAAGGAUGAAGCAAAAGGUAUGGCUGGUGAGAAUUUUUGACGACUGCCUUUGUGUUUCUGCUCAUUCUCAACUCUGUUCUCAUUGUUGCUUUGCGGAUAAACUGGAGGAGACUUUGAAGAAGAAGGACCUUGACCUUGCAGAGGCACAGAAGGCUGCUUUGGAGAAAAUGAAGCUCGCCGAAGAGAAGCUUGCCUCAGUCGACGAACUCGAAGAUGAAAACGCCAAGCUGAAAGCUGCUCUUGAAGCGGCUAGCAGGGAGGUUAGUCUACUGAAGAACGACAAGAUUGUUCUGUCUGACCAGGCUAGCCAACUGGCGGGGAAGCGAAACGACCUGGAGAUUUAUCUCGAAGGGCUCGCCAAGAAGCUGUUUCUCAUGCUUGAAGGUAAUCUCCUUUAUCCGACUGUCUUGCUUUCACCGGCUUAUCACAUGAUCGUUAUUUUGAGUCUGAACUGUGUUUUCAGAAUUCUGCCAAAACUUUGAAGAACAAACCAGUCGAGUGGAAACCAGCUUGGACCCCAUCAACUCUCCUGGCUAAAACAGACUUUUCAGAAUGAUCUUGAAUCCUUGAUGACCCGACUGAAUGAGGUUCCAAGUCGAGUGCAAGAAUGGAAAAAGUCUUCUGCCAGGUGUGGUGCUGAUGUUGCUCUAUCUCUGGUUCGUGUCCACUGCAAAGAAGCGCAAGAGGACAAGCUGGUGUCUCUCAAGGUUGCCAAUACCAGGAAGCAUGACUUCAGAUCUUUCAUGGAGACUUUCAUUGCUGCUGCUACCCCUAUUGCCGACGGGAUCGACCUCGACCAGUUUGUUGCACCUUCCAGUCCUCCGUCGGAGGAGUAAAAAACUUCUAAGUCCCACUUUAAAUUUGCCUCAGAAUGCCGAGUGGUUGCUGUAACCGAUAAAAUUUAACAGGCUUAACGCCUGAGUACCUUUGGACCAUUCGGAAGAUAUUCCGCUGAAAUUCCAGUCGACUUGUGCUUCAUCUGUCCUGCAGGUAGAGACAGAACACAGACUGCGACUGAUCUUGUCGUCCUUAUGGAUUGGAACGAACCGCAUGUUGUACUUGUGGCGAAGCUCCGAAGGAGGAAGUCGCAGUCGGCCUGCACCUCGUCGUCCUUGCGGAUUGGGAUAAACCGCACGUUGUUCUUGUGGCGAAGCUCCGAAGGAGGACGUAACGGUCGACCUGCACCUCGUCCUCCUUGUGGAUUGGGAUAAAUUCCUUACUUAGGCGAGCAUUGGGCUCCAGCCAAGCCCUUGAGUGGGAGGUUUGCUCUCCACUCGGUAGGAUUUUUAUUACUUAGGCGAGCACUGGGCUGCAGCUAAGCCCCCGAGUGGGAGGUUUGCUCUCCACUCGGUAGGAUUUUUAUUACUUAGCCGAGCACUGGGCUGCAGCUAAGCCUCCGAGUGGGAGGUUUGCUCUCGACUCGGUAGGAUUUUGAUUACUUAGGCGAGCACUGGGCUGCAGCUAAGCCUCCGAGUGGGAGGUUCUCUCUCCGCUCGGUAGGAUUUUUAUUACUUAGGCGAGCACUGGGCUGCAGCUAAGCCCCCGAGUGGGAGGUUUGCUCUCCACUCGGUAGGAUUUUGAUUACUUAGGCGAGCACUGGCCUGCAGCUAAGCCUCCGAGUGGGAGGUUCGCUCUCCACUCGGUAGGAUUUUUAUUACUUAGGCGAGCACUGGGCUGCAGCUAAGCCCCCGAGUGGGAGGUUUGCUCUCCACUCGAUAGGAUUUUUAUUAUUUUGGAUGUUUAAGCCGAAUCCUUGGGCCGUGUAAGCCCCCGAGUGGGAGGCUGGCUCCCCACUCGGUAUGAUUUGAAUACUUAGGCGAGUACUUGGACUGCAGCUAAGCCUCCGAGUGGGAGGCUGGCUCACCACUCGGUAGGAUUUUGAUUACUUAGGCGAGUACUUGGACUGCAGCUAAGCCUCCGAGUGGGAGGCUGGCUCACCACUCGGUAGGAUUUUUAUUACUUAGGCGAGUACUUGGACUGCAGCUAAGCCUUUGAGUGGGAGGCUGGCUCACCACUCGGUAGGAUUUUUAUUACUUAGGUAAGUACUUGGACUGCAGCUAAGCCCCCGAGUGGGAGGCUGGCUCGCCACUCGAUAGGAUUUUGACUACUUAGGCGAAGCGGAUUCGCAGCUAAGCCCCCGAGUGAGAGGCUGGCUCUCACUCAGAAAGGAUUUUUUUUUACAAACUUAGGCGGAUCGGAUUCGCGACUAAACCACCCACUGGGGGAAAUUUCAACAAAGAGCAAUAACAAUCACUGGGAAAAUUAUAACAUUCUUGUCUUAGGUAAACUACAAAAGUACUUUUAUUACAUCUCAACCGAGUGAGUUUUAAGUGUAAAAGGGGCGGAGCAGCUCCGCCUUCCAAGCUCGAGUCUUGUCGAUCUGGCGAUCAACGUUGUAGAGAUGAUAUGCUCCGUUGUGGAGGACUCUUGUGACGAUGAAGGGACCUUCCCAAGUUGGGGCGAGCUUGUGUGGUUUCUGUUGAUCCACUCGGAGGACUAAAUCUCCCUCUUGGAAGGCUCGACUGUUCACAUUUCUGGCAUGGAACCGACGCAAGUCUUGCUGAUAAAUAGUCGAGCGAAUCAGGGCCAUUUCUCUCUCCUCUUCCAAGAGGUCGACUGCAUCUUGCCGAGCUUGUUCUGCUUCUUCUUCAGAGUAUAACUCGACUCGAGGCGCAUUGUGAAGCAGGUCACUUGGCAGAACUGCUUCAGCUCCAUAGACUAAGAAGAAUGGACUUCUUCCAGUCGACCGAUUAGGAGUGGCCCUCAGUCCCCAGAGAACUGAUGGAAGUUCGUCGACCCAAGCUCCUGCUGUGUGCUUGAGAUCGCGCAUCAGCCGUGGUUUCAGCCCUUUGAGAAUGAGGCCAUUUGCUCGUUCUGCUUGUCCAUUCGACUGAGGAUGAGCCACUAAAGCAUAGUCGACCCGCGUGCCUUGAGAGGCGCAGAAGGCUUUGAACUUGUCAUUAUCAAAGUUUGACCCAUUGUCGGUGAUGAUGCUAUGCGGAACCCCAUAUCUGAAAAUCAACUCUCUGAUGAAACUAAUAGCAGUGCAUGCAUCAAGGUUCUUGAUGGGCUUGGCUUCGAUCCACUUGGUGAACUUGUCGACUGCUACUAGCAAAUGGGUGAAGCCGCUUUUGCCAGUUAUCAACGGUCCAAUCAUGUCCAAUCCCCAAAUAGCGAAGGGCCAGAUGAGUGGAAUGGUCUUCAAGGCUGAGGCGGGCUUGUGCGACAUGUUGGAAUAGAACUGACAUCCUUCACACUUGUCAACUAUUUCCUUUGCCAUUUCGUUUGCUUUUGGCCAGUAAAAUCCCGCUCGGUAUGCUUUAGCCACAAUGGUCCGAGAGGACGCAUGAUGGCCACAGGUUCCCGAGUGGAUAUCCUCAAGAAUCAUCUGACCUUCUUCUGGUGUGAUGCACUUCUGGUCGACUCCAGUCACGCUUUCUUUGAACAACUGUCCCUUGAUCACUGUAAAGGCCUUGGAUCGUCGGACGAUCUGUCGAGCCUCUUCUUCAUUCUCUGGGAGCUCUUUCCUUAGGAUAUAUGCGAUGUAAGACACCGUCCAGUCGGGAGUGAUGACCACCACUUCCAUAAUUAGGUCGACCACGGCUGGGAUCUCAACUUCAGUCGGAUCAUUAGCACCCUUUUGCUGCGGGGCUUCUUCUGUGAAAGGAUCCUCCUGCACUGAAGGUGCAUGAAUGUGCUCCAAAAAUACAUUACUGGGAACAACUUCCCUUUUGGACCCUAUCUUCGCCAAGUCAUCUGCAGCUUGAUUUUUCAGUCGGGGUAUAUGAUGAAGCUCUAACCCCUCGAAUUUCUUCUCCAGCUUUCUCACUGCAUUACAAUAACAUGUCAUAGCUGGGCUUCUGACAUCCCACUCCUUCAUCACUUGAUUAACAACCAUAUCCGAGUCGCCGUAGACCAUAAGGCGACGGACGCCGAGUGAAAUGGCCAUGCACAACCCGUACAGGAGUGCUUCAUAUUCUGCUUCGUUGUUGGAGGAAUCAAAGUGAAUCUGGAGAAUAUACUUGAGCUUAUCUCCUCGGGGGGAAACCAAUACAACCCCUGCACCGGAACCGUUCAGCAUCUUGGAUCCAUCGAAAAACAUGGUCCAGUGUUCCGAGUGAACUUGAGUCGGAAGCUGCUGUUCAGUCCACUCAGCGAGGAAAUCUGCUAUUGCUUGGGACUUGAUGGCUUUCUUUGCCUCGAAUUUGAUAUCAAGGGGAAGGAGUUAAAUCGCCACUUUUGCCACUCGACCAGUUGCUUCUCUGUUAUGAAGAAUUUCCGACAAAGGGGCGUCGCUGACGACUGUAAUGGAAUGAUCAGAGAAGUAAUGACCAACUUUCUUCGCGGUCAUAUAAAUCCCAUACACAGGCUUCUGAUAAUGAUGGUAUCUUUGCUUUGACGGGGUUAAUACUUCAGAAAGAUAAUAUACUGGGCGCUGAACUCUGAAGGCCUUUCCUUCCUCUUCCCGCUCGACCGUAAGUACUGUACUGACGACUUGUCCUGUGGCUGCAAUGUAAAGCAGCAAUGGCUCCUUGCUAAUUGGGGUAGCAAGCACCGGCUGGGUGGAGAGUAGAGCUUUGACCUCUGCAAACGCUGCAUCAGCUUCAGGAGUCCACUCGAACUUGUCUGUCUUCUUCAUCAGUCGGUAAAGAGGCAAUGCCUUUUCACCGAGGCGAGAGAUGAAUCGACUUAAAGAGGCCAAGCAACCAGUAAGCUUCUGGACAUCGUGCACACGCACAGGGCGUUUCAUUCGGAGUAUAGUGCCAACUUUUUCUGGGUUAGCAUCAAUUCCUCGUUCAGAAAUGAGAAAACCGAGUAACUUUCCACUGGGAACUCCGAAUGUGCACUUUGAUGGAUUAAGCUUGAUAUCAUACCGCCUGAGGUUGGAAAAUGUUUCAGCGAGGUCAGUCAACAGGUCGGAACCUUUCCGUGACUUGACCACAAUGUCAUCCAUGUAUGCUUCCACAUUCCGACUGAUUUGAGUGAGUAAACACUUUUAAAUCAUCCUCAUGAACGUGGCUCCGGCAUUCUUGAGGCCGAAUGGCAUGGUGACAUAACAGAAGCACCCGAAUGGAGUGAUGAAAGCUGUUUUGAUCUCGUCGGGUCCAUACAGACGGAUCUGAUGAUACCAGGAAUAGGCGUCCAAAAAAGACAACCUCUCGCAUCCCGCAGUUGAGUCGACUAUUUGGUCGAUGCGAGGAAGAGGGAAAUGAUCUUUCGGGCAGGCCCGAUUGAUAUGCUUGAAAUCGAUGCACAUGCGCAACGACUUGUCCUUCUUGGGGACCAUGACAACGUUGGCGAGCCACUCGGAGUGGUAGAUCUCUCGGAUGAACUCUGCCGCUAAGAGUCGAGCCACCUCCUCACCAAUGGCCUUUCUCUUCUGGACGGCGGACCGCCGAAGAUACUCUUUAACUGGUUUGAAUUUUGGGUCGACUCAUAGGCGAUGCUCAGCCAACCCCCUGGGAACACCCGGCAUGUCAGCAGGCUUCCAUGCAAAGAUGUCCCAGUUCUCACGGAGGAACUGGAUGAGUGCUUCUUCCUAUUUUGAGUCGAGUGUUGUGGAGAUGUUGGUCGGAGCAGCGUCAGGAUCAGUCGGGUGGAUGUGAACCUUUUUCGUCUCGCCAGUCGACUGAAAUGCUGACUCCGUAGCGGGCUUCUUAGCUCGCAACAAAUCACUCGGAUCUGCAGUUUUCUGAUACACUUGUAGCUCUACCACUGCCAACUGAGCAUCGGCAAUCUUAGAGCCUUUCUGGAAGCACUCUUCUGCCUUCUUCCGAUUGCCCGUGACAGUGAUCACGCCCUUGGGACCAGGCAUCUUCAGUUUAAGAUACAUGUAACAUGGUCGGGCCAUGAAACGUGCAUAAGCUGGUCUCCCUAGAAUAGCGUGACAAGCGCUCUGGAGAUAUACGACCUCAAAGGUCAACUUCUCUUUCCGGAAAUGUCUUCAAUCACCAAAAACUACAUCAAGAGCAAUUUGGCCGAGUGACUCAACCUUCUUUCCAGGAAUGACUCCGUGGAAGCUCAUGUUACUGGUACUGAGUCUGGACAUCGGAAUGCCCAUCCCUUUCAACGUCUCCGCGUAUAAUAUGUUCAAGCCACUACCACCAUCCAUCAGGACUUUGGUCAGUCGAGUGCCUUCAACAAUUGGGUCGACCACCAACGCUUGCCUCCCAGGGGUGGCAAUGUGCGCCGGAUGAUCAGACUGGUCGAAUGUGAUGGCGGUCUGGGACCAUUUCAGAUAAUUGGGAGUCGCCGAAGCAACCAAGUUCACUUCCCGAUUGAUAACUUUCAAUCGACUUUUGCUUUCGACGUCAGGAAAAAUCAUCAGGGUGGAAUUGACCUGGGGAUAUCCACCAUCACUGUCAUCUCUGUCCUCAACUUUUUCUGUCUCUUUAUCCUUGUCCUUGAGCUGUUUCCCUUGGAACUGCUGAAUCAAGAGCCGACACUGUCGAGUGGUAUGUUUCGGGUAAAUGAGUUUACCCUCUUCAUCUUUCUUUGGAUGAAUGUGACAUGGCAAAUCCAACACGUCGUUUCCAUCUUGGUCUUUCACCUUCUUGGGGUUCCAAGGACCCUUGGGUUUCCCCUUGAACUUUCCUGGGGUCAUGGCCAAGGCCUCUCCGGGAGCCGCUGGCUCGGCUUUGCGUUUCUGCUUCCGAGUGGAAUUUCCUCCGCCGGUCGCAUUGGCAGCCGAUUUAUAUUUACCACUCCGGAGCCGAUCCUCUUCUUCACCAUUUGCAUACUUGGUGGCAAUCUCCAUCAUCCGACUCAGGGUCAUAUCUCCGGUUCGACCAAAUUUCAAACUCAAUUCUCUGUUCUUGACGCCUUCCUUGAUGGCACAGACUGCCUGAUGAUCAGAUACAUUCUUGACUGUGUGGUGCAAAGUGAUCCACCUCUGGAUAUAAUCUCUCAAAGUUUCACUCGACUUUUGCACACACGACUGCAACUCCGUCAAACCUGCUGGUCGUUUGCAAGUUCCUUCAAAUGUCCUGACAAACACACGGGCAAGAUCUUCCAAGUGUAAAUACUGCUGGGUGCUAACUGAUUCAACCACGCCCUGGCUGAACCCUCCAACAUAAGAGGCAAAUGCUUCAUGGCUACCUCAUCGUUGCCACCGCCGAUCUGAACAGCCACCCGUUAAUCUUCAAGCCAAGUGUCAGGCUUGGAUUCUCCAGUGAACUUGCUGACUCCAGUCGCCAACCUGAAGUUGGGAGGAAUUAUUGCGGCUCUGAUGGCUCUGCUGAAACACUCUGGUCCCGAGACAUGAGCUCUGUUGCUAGAAGGAACAUCUCUAUCACGGCCGUCUCGGUGAGCUCUGUUCCUGUCGACCAAACCUUGAACGAUAAUGGAUCUCGCAUCAAAGCCGGGUUCCCUGGGGUCGACCGAAUUGGUGCUCAUACUGCUCGCGGCCCUUAUAUUGAUCAUCACGCCGGCCCCCACGUUCCUCGCGCCUCGGGGGAGAUCUUGGACUAUGGGCCGACUGGACUGGAUUUGCAGCGAUGGAUCGGCUGUGAACCCUGUUCCGCGACUGGGCUACAACUGAGUUUUGAUCUCCCGCCGCCCAGAGCAAAUCUCUGAUCUGCUGCAAACCUCUACCUUCCUCCGACUGGGAAGGCUGAAUUGACUCUGCUAUACGGGCAGCAGCUGCUAAAUUCUGAAUCGGAGUCCGAUAUACCUGAGUUGGCGGUUGAAAGAGCUGGCAUCGAUUGGAUUCUGGAACCCUUGAUCGUGUACGCUCGUCGAGUGCUCGCUGAAGAUUCUCCAGUCGAGUGCGCUCAGCCAGGUUGGCCAAGCGCGCAUUCUCCAAGGCGCGAGCCUCGGGAGUUUCCCCAACGAUAGAGGUGUGAAAUGCAUCCAUGUUCCGACGGCGAAGCUCCUCCCUCUGGAGCGAAGUGAGGGGCUCGGGCAAGUACUCUUCAUGGGCUUGCUCUGGAUCGUCUCCACCAUCACCUCCGCUGGUGCGAGCGAAUCCAGGGGGACUGCGUGGUCCAUCGACCAUCAGGACCUCUGCCGCCGGGUCACUGCUAUCGCAUUCGGACGCAGUCUCUACGGAGCCAGUCGACAGGUCGAACAAGCCGUAGAGAGAUUCGUCGGGCUCGAUUGUCGCGACUUGGUGGAUGGAACUAUUCCGCCUGGAAAACCUGGUGCGGGAUCUGGCUAAUAAGAAGCAACAAUAGAGAAUCUCGCCUAGCUCGAGGCUGCGCCCGACUGGCGGGCCACCGCAUGCCUCACCCACCGUUGGAGCCUCGACCGACCGGAAUGCUUGCGCGGGUGGGAUACUGGGAAUGAAGACAGCGCAGGGGCCGGCCCAUACUGGGUCGACGGUUGCCGCAGGAGGACGCCGCGGACACAUGCGUGAAAGUGCGUCGCCCCGCGGACGGGGAGCGCGUCCACGUCGACUGGAGCCUCUUGAAGCCAAGCGGAGCUGUCGGCGAGGAACGUGAGCGCACCGAGACGGAUCUCGUGGCCGUCGACUAGAACUCCACCUGAAACCAUGAUGCCGGAGAUCGAAAGAAUGCCAACUUCUCCAAAAAAUCGCUAGAACACCUGCCCCAUGAUGGGCGCCAACUGUCGUGGUUCUAAGUAUGAAAGUAGAAUGGGGGGUAGGUAUGGAGAGGCAAGAUCCUAGCUAUGGAGUAGUUGUGUACGCAAGAGAUUUACGAGUUCAGGCCCUUCUCGGAGGAAGUAAUAGCCCUACGUCUCGGAGCCCGGAGGCGGUCGACCGGAUUAUAUGCGUAUGUGUUACAGGGGUGCAAACCCUUCUACCUGUGGAGGGGGGUGGCUUAUAUAGAGUGCGCCAGGACCCCAGCCUGCCCACAUAAGAGAGGGUUUAAGGUGCGUUAAGGCCAGGCGUUACUGGUAACGCCUUACAUAAAGUACCAUUAUGACCAUAAAGGCUAUUUAACUACAGACCGUUUAGACACCGAGUGGCUCUUGGACUCCUGGUGGUCGAGUGUCUUUGAAUCUGUCGAGUGGAAAUCUACCAGGUCGACUGGAAGGCUGCUUCUCUUGUGAGUCUCCUUGAGGAGGGUACCUUUGGGUAGGUCUACGACCCUACCCCAGGUAUAUGACUUCAUCAGACGGUGCCCUAUUUAAAGUGAAUGUAGCUGUCUCUAGAGCGUAUCCCCAAAAUGAUAGCGGUAAAUCAGUAAGAGACAUCAUAGAUAGCACCAUAUCCAAUAGAGUGCGAUUACGAUGUUCGGACACACCGCUACGCUGAGGUGUUCCAGGCGGCGUGAGUUGUGAAACGAUUCCACAUUUCCUUAAGUGUGUACCAAAUUCGUGACUUAAAUAUUCUCCUCCACGAUCUGAUCAUAAGAAUUUUAUCUUUCGGUCACGUUGAUUCUCUACUUCAUUCUGAAAUUCCUUGAACUUUUCAAAGGUCUCAGACUUGUGUUUCAUUAAGUAGACAUACCCAUAUCUACUCAAGUCAUCAGUGAGAGUGAGAACAUAACGAUAUCCUCCGCGAGCCUCAACGCUCAUUGGACCGCACACAUCGGUAUGUAUGAUUUCCAAUAAGUUGGUUGCUCGCUCCAUUGUUCCGGAGAACGGAGUCUUGGUCAUUUUGCCCAUAAGGCAUGGUUCGCAUGUGUCAAAUGAUUCAUAAUCGAGAGACUCUAAAAGUCCAUCAGCAUGGAGCUUCUUCAUGCGCUUGACACCAAUGUGACCAAGGCGGCAGUGCCACAAGUAUGUGGGACUACCGUUAUCAACUUUACAUCUUUUGGUAUUCACACUAUGAACAUGUGUAACAUUACGUUCGAGAUUCAUUAAGAAUAAACCAUUGACCAUCGGAGCAUGACCAUAAAACAUUUCUCUCAUAUAAAUAGAACAACCAUUAUUCUCGGAUUUAAAUGAGUAGCCAUCUCGUAUUAAACGAGAUCCUGAUACAAUGUUCAUGCUCAAACUUGGCACUAAAUAACAAUUAUUGAGGUUUAAAACUAAUCCCGUAGGUAAAUGUAGAGGUAGCGUGCCGACGGCGAUCACAUCGACCUUGGAACCAUUCCCGACGCGCAUCGUCACCUCGUCCUUCGCCAGUCUCCGUUUAUUCCGCAGCUCCUGCUGUGAGUUACAUAUAUGAGCAACGGCACCGGUAUCAAACACCUAGGAGUUACUACGAGUACUGGUAAGGUACACAUCAAUUACAUGUAUAUCAAAUAUACCUUUAGUGUUGCCGGCCUUCUUGUCUGCUAAGUAUUUGGGGCAGUUCCACUUCUAGUGACCCUUCUUUUUGCAAUAAAAGCCCUCAGUCUCAGGCUUGGGUCCAUUCUUUGACUUCUUCCUGGCAACUGGCUUACCAGGCGCGGCAACAUCCUUGCCGUCCUUCUUGAAGUUCUUCUUACCCUUGCCCUUCUUGAACUUAGUGGUUUUAUUGACCAUCAACACUUGAUGCUCCUUCUUGAUUUCUACCUCUGCUGACUUCAACAUCGAAAAUACUUCAGGAAUAGUUUUCACCAUCCCCUGCAUAUUGUAGUUCAUCACAAAGCUCUUGUAGCUUGGUGGGAGCGACUGAAGGAUUCUGUCAAUGACCGCCUCGUCCGGGAGGUUGAUGUCCAGCUGGGACAGGCGGUUGUGCAACCCAGACAUUUUGAGUAUGUGCUCACUGACAGAACUAUUUUCCUCCAUCUUACAACUUUAGAACUUGUCGGAGACUUCAUAUCUCUCGACCCGGGCAUGAGCUUGGAAAACUAGUUUCAGCUCCUCGAACAUCUGAUAUGCUCCGUGUCGCUCAAAACGCUUUUGGAGCCCCGGUUCUAAGCAUGCCGCACUGAACGAGGGAGUAAUCAUCAACACGAGAUUGCCAAGCGUUCAUAAUGUCUUGGUUCUUUGGGAUGGGUGCUUCACCUAGCGGUGCUUCUAGGACAUAUUGUUUCUUGGCAGCUAUGAGGAUAAUCCUCAGGUUCUGGACCUAGUCCGAAUAGUUGAUGUCAUCAUCUUUCAGCUUGGUUUUCUCUAGGAACGCGUUGAAGUUCAUGGUGACAUUAGCGUUGGCCAUUUGAUCUACAAGACAUUUUGCAAAGAUUUUAGACUAUUUUUCAUGAUAAUAAAGUUCAUCUAAUCAAACUAUUUAAUGAACUCCCACUCAGAAUUGACAUCCCUCUAGUCAUCUAAGUGUUACAUGAUCCGAGUCGAUUAGGCCGUGUCCGAUCAUCACGUGAGACGGACUAGUCAUCGUCGGUGAACAUCUCCAUGUUGAUCGUAUCUUCCAUACGACUCAUGUUCGACCUUUCGGUCUCUUGUGUUCCGAGGCCAUGUCUGUACAUGCUAGGCUCGUCAAGUUAACCUAAGUGUAUUGCAUGUGUAAAACUGUCUUACACCCGUUGUAUGUGAACGUAAGGAUCUAUCACACCCGAUCAUCACAUGGUUCUUCGAAACGACGAACUUUUGCAACGGUGCACAGUUAGGGAGAACACUUUCUUGAAAUUGUUAUGAGGGAUCAUCUUAUUUGCUACCGUCGUUCUAAGUAAACAAGAUGCAUAAACAUAAUAAACAUCACAUGCAAUUAUAUAUAGUAGUGACAUGAUAUGGCCAAUAUCAUAUAGCUCCUUUGAUCUCCAUCUUCGGGGCUCCAUGAUCAUCCUGUCACCGGCAUGACACCAUGAUCUCCAUCAUCAUGAUCUCCAUCAUCGUGUCUUCAUGAAGUUGUCAUGCCAACGACUACUUCUACUUCUAUGGCUAACGCGUUUAGCAAUAAAGUGUAAUUUACAUGGCGUUCUUCAAUGACACGCAGGUCAUACAAAAAUAAAGACAACUCCUAUGGCUCCUGCCGGUUGUCAUACUCAUCGACAUGCAAGUCGUGAUUCCUAUUACAAGAACAUGAUCUCAUACAUCACAUAUAUCAUUCAUCAUUCAUCACAAAUUUGGCCAUAUCAUAUCACAAAACACUUGCUACAAAAACAAGUUAGACGUCCUCUAAUUGUUGUUGCAAGUUUUACGUGGCUACAAUAGGGUUCUAGCAAGAACGUUUUCUUACCUACGUGAAAGCCACAACAUGAUUUGUCAACUUCUAUUUACCCUUCAUAAGGACCCUUUUCAUCGAAUCCGCUCCAACUAAAGUGGGAGAGACAGACACCCGCUAGCCACCUUAUGCAACUAGUGCAUGUCAGUCGGUGGAACCAGUCUCACGUAAGCGUACGUGUAAGGUCGGUUCGGGCCGCUUCAUCCCACAAUACCACUGAAGCAAGAUAAGACUAGUAGCGGCAAGAAAGUUGACGACAUCUACGCCCACAACAAAUUGUGUUCUACUCGUGCAAUAGAGAACUAUGCAUAGACCUAGCUCAUGAUGCCACUGUUGGGGAACGUUGCAGAAAAUUAAAAUUUUUCCUACGGUUUCACCAUGAUCCAUCUAUGAGUUCAUCUAGCAAUGAGUCAUGGGAGAGUGAUUGCAUCUACAUACCACUUGUAAAUCGCGUGCGGAAGCGUUCAAUGGAACGGGGAUGAUGGAGUCGUACUCGCCGUGAUUCAGAUCACCGAUGACCUAGUGCUGAACGGACAGCACCUCCGCGUUCAACACACGUACGGAGCGGAUGACGUCUCCUCCUUCUUGAUCCAGCAAGGGGGGAGGAGAGGUUGAUGAUGAUCCAGCAGCACGACGGCAUGGUGGUGGAUGCAGCAGAACUCCGGCAGGGCUUCGCUAAGCAACUACGGGAGGAGGAGGAGGUGUAGCAGGGAGGAGGGAGGUGCCAGGCCUUCAGGGUGCGGCUGCCCCUCCCUCCCCUCCCUUUAUAUAGUGGCAAGAGAGAGGGGGGGGCGCAGCCUUGCCCCUUCCUCCAAGGAAGGGGUGCGACCAAGGGGGGGGGGGAGGAGUCCAUCCUCCCCAAGGCACCUCGGAGGUGCCUUGCCCCUUUAGGACUCUCCCCUCUCUCUUAUCUCUAGGCGCAUGGGCCUCUAGGGGCUGGUGCCCUUGGCCCAUAUAGGCCAAGGCGUACCCCCUACAGCCCAUGUGCCCCCCCCCGGGGCAGGUGGAUCCCUGGUGGAACCCCCGGAUCCCUUUCGGCACUCCCGGUACAAUACCGAUAACGCGCGAAACUUUUCCGGCGACCAAAAUAAGACUUCCCAUAUAUAAAUCUUUACCUCCGGACCAUUCCGGAACUCCUCGUGACGUCCGGGAUCUCAUCCGGGACUCCGAACAACAUUCGUUUUGCUGCAUACUCAUAUUCAUACAACCCUAGCGUCACCGAACCUUAAGUGUGUAGACCUACGGGUUCGGGAGACAUGCAGACAUGACCGAGACGGCUACCGGGCAAUAACCAACAGCGGGAUCUGGAUACCCAUGUUGGCUCCCACAUGCUCCUCGAUGAUCUCAUCGGUUGAACCACGAUGUCGAGGAUUCAAACAACCCCGUAUACAAUUCCCUUUGUCAAUCGGUAUUUUACUUGCCCGAGAUUCGAUCGUCGGUAUCCCAAUACCUCGUCCAAUCUCGUUACCGGCAAGUCACUUUACUCGUACCGUAAUCCAUGAUCCCGUGACCAAACACUUGGUCACUUUGAGCUCACUAUGAUGAUGCACUACCGAGUGGGCCCAGUGAUGCCUCUCCAUCAUACGGAGUGACAAAUCCCAGUCUCGAUCCAUGUCAACCCAACAGACACUUUUGGAGAUACCUUUAGUGCACCUUUAUUGUCACCCAGUUACGUUGUAAUGUUUGGUACACCCAAAGCACUUCCUACGGCAUACGGGAGUUACACAAUCUCAUGGUCUAAGGAAGAGAUACUUGACAUUGGAAAAGCUCUAGCAAAACGAACUACACGAUCUUGUGCUAUGCUUAGGAUUGGGUCUUGUCCAUCACAUCCUUCUCCUAAUGAUGUGAUCCCGUUAUCAACGACAUCCAAUGUCGAUAGUCAGGAAACCAUGACUAUCUGUUGAUCCACGAGCUAGUCAACUAGAGGCUCACUAGGGACAUAUUGUGCUCUAUGUAUUCACACGUGUAUUAUGAUUUCCGGAUAAUACAAUUAUAGCAUGAAUAAAAGACAAUUAUCAUGAACAAGGAAAUAUAAUAAUAAUACUUUUAUUAUUGCCUCUAGGGCAUAUUUCCAACAGAGGUGACACAGGCGGUGCUUCGGAUUGUGAAGGGUGAAGAGAGUGCUGAAUGCAUUAAUGACACUAUUCUUGUUUUGGUUCCAAAAGUAAUGAAUCCAACUAUUCUUUCACAGUUCAGACCUAUUAGUUUGUGUAAUGUCCUAUACAAGAUUUGCUUCGAAGGUGAUUACGAACAGAAUGAAGCAAAUUCUUCCAACCAUAAUAUCGGAAGAACAAUCGGCGUUUGUUCGAGAAGACUAAUAAUGGACAACAUCAUUUGUGCCUAUGAGUGUCUGCACUUCAUGAAGAGAAGCAAAGCAAAGAAUAAUAGUUACUUCACUUUAAAACUUGACAUGAUGAAAGCUUAUGACAGACUCAAAUGGUCCUAUUUGGAGGCCAUUAUGGGGAAGCUCGGAUUUGCACGUUCAUGGGUGAAUAUUGUGAUGAAUAUGAUCAAAUCAGUUUCUUUCUCGGUGUUGUUCAAUGGUGAGAAAUUGGACCAGUUUAAACCAACUCGGGGUAUCCGGCAGGGAGAUCCAAUCUCCACCUAUCUUUUCUUGAUUGCAGCGGAGGUCCUUUCAUGCCUACUAAAAUUUGGUUCUCAGUCAUCGCAGUUAAUUGGAGCUAAGGUGGCCCCGACAGCCCCGGCUUCAACCAUCUUCUCUUUGCGGAUGAUAGCCUGCUGCUAUUCAAGGCCAGUACAGAAAGGGCAGGCGUCGUUUCAAACCUGAUGGAUACUUACUAUUCUGCUUCGGGUCAGAGAGUAAAUAAUGAGAAAUCUUCUAUCUUCUUCAGUAAAGGGUGUCCUCAGCCUGUUCGAGAGGGCAUAAAAAAUUCUCUCAAUAUAUAUAACAAGUAGUUGAGUGAUCGGUAUCUUGGGAUGCCAACGGAUGUGGGUCACUCCAGAAAUGGCACCUUCAAGUACUUGAGAGACAGGGUGUGGGAGAAGGUAAAGGGAUGGUUGGAAAAAAUUCUUUCAUAUCACUACUAGGGAAAAGCCUAGCAGCAGCGCGGGUUUUGGGCCUCUCAGUAGCGCGGGGACCGGCGCUACUAAUAAGGCGCUACAGCUAACGUAUAGCAGUAGCGCCUGUUGUCCCACGCUACUGCUAUACAUGAAUAGCUGUAGCGCUCUUUAAAAAGGGCGCUGCUGAUAUUAUCUGCAGCGCUGUUUACUGGGAAGCGCUACUGGUAAGGCGGCGCUACUGCUAAAUUUUCGCCCCUCGCUACUAGUAGUUUUAUUAGUUUUUUCCCUGCAUAUUUGUUUUUGUAUUUGUUUUGUAUUUGAAUAGGCUUUAUAUAAUAAUCUUUAGCAUAUCAUACACAUACAAAUGUAAUCAUAGCAUAUACAUACAAUUAGUCUCAUCAAAUCAUGUCGUCAUCAUAAUCAUCAUCCAACACAAAGUGGUCUCUCGUCAUCAUCUCGAAAAUAGCAUACAAGUCUCGAUUACUUGCAAAUACAUCGUCAUCCAUCUAAACAAUGAUAUACGCAAGAAGAGCUAUCACUUUGAGUACAUGAGUUCAUAUCCCUCUCUCGCAUUAGCAUGAACCUAAACAAACUACUGCCUGUCGCUCGGAAACCGGAAACCGGUACACCUGGGCCUGACACUCCGGCCACUUGUCGUAUAUAUACUCCUGGCGUAGCACUUAUUCACCAUCGAUGAUCUAUGCACCUGCAUCGUCACAUGAGUCGAUGAUAUGCAACAUAUAUAGUUGAGCAACAGAAAGAGACAGACUUGGCAAAAAUAGAAACAACAUAACAUAAGCAUAAAUAACAAAGUUCAUCGUACCCCAAAAUGCCCUAACUAAAGUGAUUUUCGCUAGUCGAGGAGGAGGACGGUUUAAUUACAUCACAAAUAAAGUUUCACCGUGCAUAACUCAAAGUUUUGUCAUACAGAAAGUAUGCACUAAACGGACACAUUGUCAUAUAUCGACAAUCACUCCAACAUGUCGUUCCAUCCAUCCAUGUCAGGGAGAUAGUCCCCGAUCCUAGUGAAAGGCUUCAGGUCAAGACGCUGUGCGGCUACCCGUGUUCGGACGUCUUCCCGUGACAUUUGUCCUUCUUCAUAGAACAUCCCUGUUUUUCCGACGACCUCCUUCAUGAUGAUUUGGGCAAGUUCGCACUGGAUGUGAUAGAACUCGGCUCGAAGUCGAUGUUCCUCGAUAUCUCCUACGUUCUUUGCCCAUUGCAGAAUAUGGGCAUCACCAGAUCUAGGUGACAUGCGAAGGUUCUGGUGAUCCCGUCUGUACUCCAGCAUCUGGUGUAGGACAUAGAAUCCAUCAUUAAGAGAAUCGUUCGGUUGCUGGAUGCAGCAGAAGUCGGUCUUAUGGCCGAAGGCAACCCUGCCGCCCCUUCUCUUCUUGUCCCUGACCUCUCCACCCCUUGCUUGGUAGUAAAACAUAGCACUAUCGAGAACAUCCUUGAUGUGGGUGUAGUCCUUUUUGUGAAUGUUCUUCGACGAGUCCAAGUAAAGAGCGUGGGAGAAUCGGGGGUAUAGGAUGAUGAGGACGGCGCGCCCGCCGCUGCGCAAAAUAAGUACACCUCAAAUUAAUUAGCCUCCACCGUGCAAAUGAAUGAUUGAAAUCGAAGGAAGGAUAGCAGCGCAGAUGACUUACACGGGAUGAUAAGGCACGAGAAUCGCCUCCUUAUCCUUAUUGGCGAGCAUGAAAUUGAUGAUGUAUUCCCUCCCGUAUACACGGUGCUCUGCGCAGACUCCCAAGAAGCCCUCGUGCAUGUAGUAUGGGUCAGCAACGCAGAUAUGAGAUAUCUGCUCAACCCCGAUGACGUAGUUCAUGUGCAAGGCAUAAAAGCGGACAAACGUAAAAUUCAGCUUCUUCACGUGAAAUAUGUCGAAUAUGUAAUCGAAUCGAAGGUAGAACUUAUCUGCGGGAAAGCUGUCGACAUACGACAUUUGCCGUGGAACGUUAACCACGUAGAGUGGGUAUCCUGGAUCUUUCGAGGCGAUGAGGCCUUUCUCUACCCGCAGCACAUCAUCAUGAAGUCUUCUUAGAUCGCCGAAUCCGACCCCUAGCGCUGUUGCAGGUAGGAUUGGUUGACUGGGGAUAUGCCAUUUAUCCGCAUUGGGGAUAUCUAUACGGUCCUGAAGCUGAGGCUGCUGAGGCGGCUGGCUCAUAGAAUCAGCUUUUUUGCCUUUCCUCGCUCUCUUCCUAGACUUCUUUACUACCGGAAGGUCGUCCAUAAUACGUUGAGAUGGCAAUUCAGGUACCGACUCAUGACACUCAAACCCUGAGGAGGCGCCAAUAUAGACAUACUGUUCAGCGCCACCAUCGUCCUCAUCCUCAUCCAUGGCGACGUCAUCAGCGACUAAUGGAGCCUCCUCCUUACCCUGUCCGCUAUCACCCAACCCGACACCCGACGCUAAUUGGGUAGGUGGGGUGUUGAUGUUCAUACCUUGCUGAGGCUGCGUGCUCGUGGGUGUGCUCCCGACCGCCCAUGCUCGUGGCUGAGGCUGCGACUCAUGACGAAGCAGACUCUUUGGCCACAACAGGACCCACCCAUUGCAACAAUCACCAAGCCACCGCGGUGUCUCCUCGUCAUCCACCAGUAGUAUUGGAGGAGACAAAUUCUCGUGGCCCGGUUCGACACUGGCCACGGAAACCUUGAAGACGUUCGGGGGGAUCGGCCGGCUGUGGAACAAUGGUUCCUUUGGCUCCAUUAUCGUGGCCUUCCCCACGUCCACCUUCUGGUCGCCGAUGGUGUACAAUAUGGUGCACGGGGUUUCGUCGGCCUGCAAAGAAAAGUCUGCGACGUGAGACAUUCGAAAGGCAAUGAAAACGGGAGAUUAUACAUUUAUAUUGAAGGGGGCCGGUGUGACAGAUACCGUGAGGGCAUCGAGCUCAGCCAAAGACGAAGCACCGCCGAGCACGUCCGAUGCGGGAGCAGGUGCGGGAGCCGGUGCGGGAGCAGGUGCGGGAGCCGGUGCGGGAGCAGGUGCGGGAGCCGGUGCGGGAGCAGGUGCUCCCAAGAAGUCAGCAAGGGGAAAGUCCUCUGCAUUUUUUUCUGGAUUUUUCCUUGUCCAAGUGAAAACGGCCGGAACCAAGCAAGUAGACAAAUCUGCAACCACCUGUUUUGCGGCAGCUACCGCUGUUGCGACUCUCUGAGAUGAUUUCUUCACAACCGCAAUCUCAACCUUCUUGUCGAUGUUUUCUUCAGUUAACCUCCGUCUUUUCUUUCUCUCCCCCGUGGUCUCACGGUAGUACAUCUUCCACGUGGCGCCGUCUCCGACACCGUGCACGCGUCCAUACGACGGUUGAGUAUCCACCAGUUGUCGUUUCAAUAUGUUCAACGCCCGGUUGAAUGGAGUGUCCCACUUGGGCCUCGCCAAUGCCUCAGACGGCGAGUUGCUUUCGGCCGCAAACUGGUGCUGCUCUCUCUGCAAAAGGCACAAGGAUCGUUUACAAAUAUGACUAACGUGUGCAGUCGAAUUGAUCAGAAACUAAAAUUACCAGCAGUCUCAUGAACUCCGUAAUGACCGGUGUUGUUUCGUAAACCUUCUUCACUGGGUCCCAACGAUGCAGGGCCCUCAGGACGUCACGCUCCUGCGGGACGGUGAAAUCCGCCAAGGGGUCUGGGAUGCCCAGACUCGCGGCUUCCGCGUCCUCCUUGGCCCAUUUGGACCUCUUUCCGCCGUAACCACGACUUCCGAGGUGGUGGCUCCUAAUGUUCCUCUCUUGAAGCCCCUUCAUGUACUUAGACUUUUUUUGGCAGCUUCGGCCUCGCAAGCCUCCUUGAAUAUUUGAAACUGCUCUUCCGUGAUUGUCGGAUUAUCCUUUACAAUCUCGGAGUAGGGUUCCUUCUUGUCGAUGAUCCUUGCUUUCACUCAAGUUUUCCAGGCGGCCAACGCGUCGCUAAACUUGGUCAUGGCGUGUUUGUUUAUCUUCUUCAUUGCCGGGUCCUUGUCUGGAUCUUCAUAAUCCUUCUCAUUCCGGCCCGGGAACAAGAAUAUUUGGUGAAACUUCUUUAGGAGGGAGCUCCUCAUAUUUUCUAUCUUCUGUAGUUUCUCAUCGUUGAUAGUGGCGGUUGUCCGUACGAUGCAGCCUAUUUGAUUGUCGUAGCAUCGACGCGCUUCCUCGGGCACCUUUGGCUCAAAAAUGCCAUCGUCCACCUCCGUGACCACCAGUCUAGUAGUCCUGAGUUUGUUAGGAACCCGUUGCCUCUUUGCUUUCGGUUCUACACCGGCUCCGCUCCCCGAGGCAGCACCGGUCUCAGUCUCAGCGCCGGUCUCGAUGCCGGUCUGAGUCUCAGCACCGAUCUCAGUCUCAGCACCGGUCUACGUAUCAGUCUCAGUCCCUGAUGCCACCGGUGGGCCCAGCAACAACAUCGGUUGAUCAUCGGUAAGGCUAAAAAAUUCGUCUGCCGCCCGGUAGACAUUGUCGCAAUCACCAGAACCCUGUCCUUCAUCGUUGCUACCCAUGUGUCCUAUGAUUAAAUCUAGUCAAUUAAUUCUAGACCUAAUAAAAUUAAUAAUGACAUAAAAAGGCCUAUUGUUUUGCAGGAAUGUUGACUCCUUCCUGGUGCGGCAAAUCCCGGGCACUCGAUAUGUCCUAGUUUGUAGCACAAGUCAUUGCCGAAAUUCACGGAAAAUUUCGGCAUGACCUUUGCUGAAAAGUGGACAAAUCGAGAACCUGAAAUUUGCCGGAACAGAAAUGAAUCAACAUUCCGGCAAAACAUAGGCCACUUAGCAUCAUUCCCUGGAAAUAGUGUUCAAAUAUCCCUCUUCGACACCACAACACAUGUCCAAAUAUACACGAGCAACCACAUGUCCAAAUUUCACAAGCUAAUUCAAAAACAAAGUGUAGAAGAAAAUUCAUUUAACUACUAAUAGAACAAAAUUUAGUUAACUUUAGUGCUCUAUAAUGAUGAAAGGAAAAAAAAUUCAGUUAACUACUAAUUUCAUUCAUUUAGGUUAUUCAUUUAACAUCACCUAAUUAACCUACUGUACCACUACUACUAGCAGCACUACUAACCUAAUUAACCUAGCAAAACUCUAGUGCCCUAACUGAAAAAUAUCUAAUUAACAUCUACUAGUACCACUGUUGCCCUAACCUAACUAACAUCUACUAGUAUCACUAUAUACUAUACAAGCUUCAUCUACCCUAAUUAAACCCUACUGCCCUAACUAACUUUUGUUGUAAACCAAAUUUUUUGCUCUAAACUAAUUUUUGCUCUAACAUCUACUACUUAACAUCCUUUGCUCUAAACUAAAUUUUUUUGCUAUAAACAAACUUUUGCUCUACUAUUUUUUUCUCAAAAAUGCAGAGAGAGAGGAGUGGGGGGGGGAGGGGUGGGGGACUUACAGAGAGGGGAGAGACGGUUGCGGGGAGGUGCUCGGUGACGGAGGCAGGGGCGGAGAGGGCGGGCUCAGGCACGGGCAACAGCGGUCCUGGGCGGGCUCGGGCGACGGUGAGGUGGAGGGCGCCGACGGUGACGUCGAGGGCGGCCUCGCGCGGCGGCGGUGAGGCUGAGGGCGGCCUCAGGCGGCGGCGGUGAUGAUGACGGCGGCCUUGGGGGAGACGGUGAGGUUGCGGGCGUCCACGCCGGCAGGAGACGGUGGCGAAGUCGGGCGAUGGCGAAUUGGGGAGACGGCGGCGAGGGCGAGGGAUUUGGGGAAGAAGUGUGGUGGCCGGGGGCGCAGGGGGGACCGUUGUUUAAGUGAAACGUAACGGUAGCGCGUUUCCGAAAGCACGCUAUAGCUAAGUUAGCUACAACGCGUUUCUUGAAACCCGCUACUGCUAUUCCUUUCUCCUUUUUUCCCUUUUUUCUUUUAUUUUUCUUUACAUUUUAUUUUUUUUCCUUUCUCCUUUUUCUAUUUCUUUAAUUUUCAUUUAUUUUUCUACUUGUUUUUUAUUUUAUCUUAUUUCCGUUAGCAGUAGCGCCUUACACGUAAGCGCGCUACAGCUAAGGAGAGUAGCAGUAGCAUUGGGCCAGUAUACGCGCUACUGCUAGGUUGGACUAGCCAUGUGCGCCCAAUUCAAACAUAGCAGCAGCGCUUUUUGCUAGUACGCGCUACUGCUAAAGUCACAGCAGUAGCGCGGUUUAUUUAUGCGCGCUGCUACUAAGUAACAGUAGCGUAUGAUUUUGUACAGCGCUACUGGUAACAUUCUGUGUAUAAGGUUUUCCCUAGUAGUGUAUGCAGGGAAAGAAGUGUUAAUUAAGGCGGUUGCCCAAGCAAUUCCAGUGUAUUCAAUGUCUUGCUUUAGAUUGCCAAGAGGUAUCUGUGAAAGCAUAACUUCAAUGAUCAAGCAAUUUUGAUGGGGCAGCAAGCGGGGCAAACGAAAACCUUGUUGGGUGUCUUGGGAUGUUUGCACAAGGCCCAAAAAUUUGGGAGGUCUAGGAUUCAGGGACAUGGAAAUGUUCAACUUGUCUCUCCUGGCAAGGCAGGCAUGUAGGCUCCUCCAAGGUCCAAGUACUCUUAGUGCAAGAUUAUUAAAGGUUGCAUACUACCCUAAUGGAUCAAUUUUGGAAGCAGAGCUAGGACCCCAUCCUUCACAGAUUUGGCGCGCUAUACUGGAUGGCCGGAAUAUUGCGGCACAGGGAGUCAUAAAAUGGAUCGGUAACGGAAACUACGGGUAUAUGGGACACAAACUGGAUUCCCAGAGAGGGUCUCAUGAGGCCAAUCACUUCACUGUGGCUCAGCCACCCCGUAUGGUUUCAGAGUUAAUUGAUUCCUCACCAGCCUCGUGGCGCGAAUCACUUGUUUGGUCAACGUUUAUAGCUAUAAAUGCAAAAGCGAUACUACAGAUUCCGUUAUGUACCAAGCGAGUGGAGGAUUUCUGGGCAUGGGGUGAAGACCAUCGGGGACACUUCUCUGUUGGUUCAGUUUAUAAGAUGUUGUGCAGAACGAAAUUUCAGAGAGAGAACUGCUUGCAAAACGAGGGAAGCACCUGGGCUACUGAGCAGGAGAGGAAAGAGUGGACCUCGCUGUGGAAUAUCAGGGUACCAUCCAAACUAAAAGUGUUCUUAUGGCGAUUGUGCAGAAACUCACUUCCUACCGCUGAUGUGCGGAAUCAUAGAAAUAUGUCAACAUGCUUGGUUUGUGAGUUAUGUGGUGCGGCAGAUAACUGGAAGCAUGCACUUAUGGAAUAUGUGAUGGCUAAAUGUGUAUGGUCUUUCGCAGGGGAGGAGAUGCUGGAGAACAUGUUCGAUCACAUUCAGUUGAAUGCCAAAAACUGGAUUUUCAUGAUGGACUCGAUCCUCACACAUGAUUAUUUCACUCGUAUGGUGGUGACAUUAUGGGCCACGUGGAAAGCAAGGAGGAAGGCUACAAGAUUGGUAGCCUUCAAAAUAAAAGUGAAUAAAACUAAACAAGAUUGGUAGCAACUACUUCUAUAAGUGUCUAGAGCCUAUAUCAUGCAUUAGAAUUACUUGGGACCUCAUAAAUUCAACAUGCAAGCUCAAGAACAUGGUCACCUAUGCAGCAAAAAUUUGCAAUGAAUAAAGCACUAGAACAAAAACUAAUUGGACCAAUGCAAGAGUCACAUACCAAGCACAAUCUCCCAAAGCAGUUUUGUGAAUGGAUCUUUGAGCAAGGAGAUCGAAAAUUGCAGCAAAAUGAGCUAGAACUCGUGCUUGAGCUAGAUGGGGAUUUUUUUGGGAAGAAGAUGGAGUGUGUGUGUCCUGGCAUAAGUGGAGGGGGGCCACCAGGGGCCUACGAGACAGGGGGCGCGCCAAGGGGGUGCGGGCGCGCCCUCCACUCUCGUGGCCUGGUGCUUCCCCCUCCUGCAGUGAUUUCAGUGCCUAAAAUCCUCAAAUAUUCCAUAAAAAAUCAUACUAAAUUUGCACGGCAUUUGGAGCACUUUUAUUUUCGAGAUAUUUUUAUUGCACGGAUAAUUCAGAAAACAGACAGAUAAUACUAUUUUUUCUUUAUUUAUUCUAAAUAACAGAAAGUAAAAAGAGGGUACAGAAGGUUGUGCCUUCUAGUUUCAUCCAUCUCAUGAUCAUCAAAAUGAAUCCACUAAAAAGGUUGAUCAAGUCUUGUUAACAAACUCAUUCCAAAUAACACGGAACCGGAGAAAUUUCGAAUAACACUAAGUUACCUCAACGGGGAUAUGAACAUCCCCAAUAAUAAGAAUAUCAUACUUUUUCUUGACAGUAGGGAGAGGAAAUUCAAAACCUCCAAUAUUGAUAGUUGGAACUUUUCCAAUAGAAUUGAUGCUAUGAACUUGAGAUUGUUUCCUCGGAAAGUGUACCGUAUGCUCAUUACCUUUAACAUGAAAAGUGACAUUGCCUUUGUUGCAAUCAAUAACAGCCCCUGCAGUAUUCAAAAAGGGUCUACCAAGGAUAAUCGACAUACUAUCGUCCUCGGGAAUAUCAAGAAUAACAAAGUCCGUUAAGAUAGUCACAUUUGCAACCACAACAGGCACAUCCUCACAAAUACCGACAGGUAUGGUAGUUGAUUUAUCAACCAUUUGCAAAGAUAUUUCAGUAGGUGUCAACAUAUUCAAUUCAAGUCUAUGAUAUAAAGAGAGAGGCAUAACACUAACACCGGCUCCAAGAUCACAUAAAGUAGUUCUAACAUAAUUUCUUUUAUUGGAGCAUGGUAUAGUUGGUACCCCGGGAUCUCCAAGUUUCUUUGGUAUUCCACCCUUAAAAGUGCAAUUAGCAAGCAUGGUGGAAAUUUCAGCUUCCGGUAUCUAUCUUUUGUUUGUGAUGAUAUCCUUCAUAUAUUUAGCAUAAGGAUUUACUUUAAGCAUAUCAGUUAAGCGCAUACGUAAGAAGAUAGGUCUAAUCAUUUCAGCAAAGUGCUCAAAAUCCUCAUUAUCCUUUAUCUUGGAUGGUUUAGGAGGAAAGGGCAUGGGUUUCUGAACCCAUGGUUCUCUUUCUCUACCGUGCUUCCUAGCAACAAAAUCUCUCUUAUCAUAACAUUGAUUCUUUGAUUGUGGGUUAUCAAGAUCAACAGAAGGCUCAAUCUCUACUUCAUUUUUUUUGCUAGGUUGAGCAUCAACAUGAUCAUUAUCAUUGACAUUAUCACUAGGUUCAUGUUCAUCACCUGAUUGUGGUUCAGCAUCAGAGAUAGAAAUAUCAUUGGGAUUCUCAGGUGUAUCUGCAAUAGGUUCCCUAGAAGCAUGCAAAGUUCUAUCGUCUUUCUUUUUCUUCUUUUUAGAAGAACUAGGUGCCUAUAAAUUAUUUCUCUAAGAAUCUUGCUCGACCCUCUUAGGGUGGCCUUCAGGAUACAAAGGUUCCUGAGUCAUUCUACCUGUUCUAGUAGCCACUCUAACAUCAAAGUCAUUUUUAUUAUUUAAUUCAUCAAGCAAAUCAUUUUGAGCUUUAAGUACUUGCUCAGCUUGAGUAGCAACCAUAGAAGCAUAUUUGCUAACGAGUUUAAGUUCAUCUUUAACUCUAGCCAUAUAAUCGCUCACGCGUCCUAUCUCGAAAGCAUUAUUCCUUAAUUCUCUACCAACAUAAGUGUCGGUGUCAAAACCGGCGGAUCUCGGGUAGGGGGUCCCAAACUGUGCGUCUAGGCGGAUGGUAACAUGAGACAAGGGACACGAUGUUUUUACCCAGGUUCGGGCCCUCUCGAUGGAGGUAAUACCCUACUCCUGCUUGAUUAAUAUUGAUGAUAUGGGUAGUACAAGAGUAGAUCUACCACGAGAUCAGAGAGGCUAAACCCUAGAAGCUAGCCUAUGGUAUGAUUGUUGUUCGUCCUACGGACUAAAACCCUUCGGUUUAUAUAGACACCGAAUAGGAUUAGGGUUACACAGAGUCGGUUACAAUGGUAGGAAAUCUACAUAUCCGUAUCGCCAAGCUUGCCUUCCACGCCAAGGAAAGUCCUAUCCGGACACGGGACGGAGUCUUAAUCUUGUAUCUCCAUAGUCCAGGAGUCCGGCCAAAGAUGAUAGUUCGGCUAUCCGGACACCCCCUAGUCCAGGACUCCCUCAGUAGCCCCUGAACCAGGCUUCAAUGAUGACGAGUCCGGCGCGCACAUUGUCUUCGGCAUUGCAAGGCGGGUUCCUCCUCCGAAUACUUCAUAGAAGGUUUUGAACACAAGGACAGUGUCCGGCUCUGCAAAAUAAUUUCCACAUAACACCGUAGAGAGAAUAAUAUUUACACAAAAUCAAUCUGCUGACGUAUUCCGCAGCGCGCCAUCACGCCACGGCCAAGUCUUUAUUCAAAUCGUUUUUACCAUACCACCUCAGCGCGUUUAGCGAGACGGUUUCCUUGGCGCGUCUUGUCAAAGCAGAGAUCGUGUCCCCCUUAUUCCGGGAUUCUCAUCAAUACGGAUGUGGGUAACCCAACCGCUCCAUUGAUUACGGCACUUGGGAGAUAAGCAAUUUUUACCAGGCUAGUGGGGGCGCUUUGUUGCGUCCGUCCAUAUAAGGGGAUAAGGAUCCACCUUUUUACCUACGCCUUCUUCCUCCUUUGCUCAUCCAUUUCCGCGCACUCGAGCUCCAGCGCCCAAGUCCGCACAUCCCUCCUCAACCUUCUCCAACCAUGUCCGGAGCGGGAGGCAAGAGGAUGGCCUCCUCCAUCACGGAGGGGCACAUCGAAAAGCUGCGGGAGGCCGGAUACUUGUCCGGCGACAUCGCGUGUCGGCUUCCCAACAAGGGGCAGCUCAUCCCCACCCCCAGGCCCCAUGAGAGGGUGGUGUUCCUCACCUACUUCCUCCGCGGACUAGGUUUUCCACUUCACCCAUUUGUUCGGGGGCUCAUGUUCUACUACGGCCUGGAUUUCCACGAUCUGGCCCCAAACUUCAUCCUCAAUAUCUCGACGAUUAUCGUCGUUUGUGAGGCUUUCCUCUGCAUCCAGCCCCACUUCGGUUUAUGGUUGAAGACCUUUAGCGUCAAGCCAAAGAUAGUGGGCGGCCGACAGGAGGAGUGCGGAGGUGCCAUGGCGGGCAGGAUGCCCAAUGUUCUAUGGCUCGAGGGCUCCUUCGUGGAGACAAUAAAGGGGUGGCAAUCGGGGUGGUUCUACAUCACUGAGCCGCGCGACUCCAAAUGGGCGGCGGCCCCCGAAUUCAGAUCUGGCUCCCCCACACGGCUCACAUCAUGGAAAGAGACGGGCCUGACGUGGGGUGAUUCGGAAGAGCUGACCGGACUCCAAACCUGCGUCCGAAACCUGGUGGACAAGAAGCUCAAGCUUGUCAACAUAGUCCAGGUUAUGCUCAUCCGCCGGAUUCUCCCAUGCCAGCAACGGGCCUCCAAUUUGUGGGAGUUUGAUGCGGCACAACACCGGACCUUGAGCCGGCUCUUCGACACUACGUACAAAGAUGCCUGGAAGGUGCUGUUCAAGGGCGCCGAAGAUCGCGGAUUCAGCUCGCAGCGUCAAGCUAGCGAGGUAAGUUAUUUUACCCUUUAUGGGACUCUUUUUUCAUAGUUUGACUCUAUGCGGGAUCUAAAACUCCCUAACCUUUGACAGGGCUGGCUGAAGACGUCCGGACAGAUUAACUGUCCAGCUCCUUUGCCAGAAGACCCAGCGGACGCCCGCUUGACGGGGCUGCUGGUUCCGGCACCUCACAUGGUGUCGGAGAAGAAGGCCAAGAAGGAGGUCACGGGAACUCGAAGGAGCUCCCGGCGCCAAGUGCUGUCAGAUUCUGAAGCAGAAUCCUCUCCUAAGAACGAGGAGGAGGAAAAAGAAGCCUCUCCCCUAGCGGGGGAAGAGAAGAAAAGGAAGGCUGCCCCGACUGGGGAGGCUGGAGGGUCCAAGAAAGGGAGGACCCUUCCUUCGGACUUCUCCACCAACGCCAACAACGACGAGGAGGAGUGGCCACCAAGGGCCAUGCCCCUGGCGAGAUCGUAAGUGUCCGGACUCCAGAAUAACUCAUGGCUUUUCAUUUGUCGCAUAGUGUCUUCUAACGCCGACUAUAACCAAGUAGCCCGCCCAAGGACGAGCUUGCCGCUACGUCGAGCGGCUCCCUGGAUACGUCAGAUAUGAAUAGCACUUCACUUCUGACCGCCUCCUCUCCUCGUGACGCAGAAGACACCGCGGUGGAGUCCCAAAAGGGGCCCAACCAGGAGGAGGUGGUCCUGGAGGCGCCGCAAGGCGACCUCUCGGACUCCGGGCGCAAAGGGGGAAAAACCCCAGAGGGCUCUAAGUCCAGCCCUGUGCCGGACUCCGUACCGGAACCUUCAGUGGUUCCGAAGUCCGGCAGGCGGCCCAUUUGUAAGAAGGGCAAGACUGCGACACCGGUGACCUCCGUCCAUCCGGAGGCACCGGAUAACUUACUGGAGGUGCUUAACGGUGCCUCCAUCGACGUGGAGCACCGCACUAUCAUGAGUGCGGUGAUCCAGAAAGUUCAGUCCGCCAAGAGCGGGCUGACUGAAGCCUGUACCAGCCUUCUAACAGGCUUUGAGGUAAGUUUAGAAUAUGUAAAAAUAUUACCGCAUAGACAGUAGCCCCUGAUGCUUAGUUCGGUGUUCGGAAAGAAAAGCCGGACUGAGGAUCUAAAAAGAUAUACGCAGGAGUCUAACGUAAAUAUGUCAAUAUGGGAACGCAGGCCGCGCUGCUGACCUCUGCCGCACUGACUGCGGAGGUCAAUGCAUUGAAGGAGAGCCUCGAGCGGUCCGAGAACGAGCUCGGCCAAGCCAAGAAGCAGCUCGAGGACAAGGAAGGUAUGUAAUACCUUAUGGAAUUGUUAAAAAUGUGGUUGCAAAAGAUAACAGGAAUAACAUGGGUACUGCAGGGGCCACGAACGAGGUGGCGACCCUAAUGGAAGCGGUGACCGCGGCCGAAAACAAAGCGGCCGCGGAGCGCACCGAGCGAGAGAAGGGGGAGGCGCAGCUGAUGGAGGUACGGCAAGAGCUCCAGGCUCUCGUGGAAAAACACGAGGGUUUGGAGCGUGACUCGAAGACCCGAGAGUCCGAGCUUGCCUCGGCUCUUGAGAGUGCCAAGGCCGCUAAGGCCGAAGCCCAGAAAUCCCUCUAGGAGAUUGAGGCGAUGAAGAAGAUAGUGGCGGGUAAGGCAUUCUUUAUGCAAAGCAAGCAUGUGAAGGUGAAUUAUCUGUUACUUACCCGAAUCUGGAGCUCUCCAGGAGCAUUCGCAGAUCUGCCCCGCAGUGUGUCCGAUGUUGCCGCUUUCUACCGAGCCGAGGAGGGAAGCGCGACGGAGAAGGUGUUCUGGUCUCAGUAUGCUGAGGCCGGACAUCCGGUGCCCCUGAGCGACCAACUGAAGCAGCUAGUCGAGCUCCACAAGGUCGCCGAAUAGGCCAUGAAGGGCCUCAUAGUUUGGCUGUGGCCAACAGAAGCCAUGCCUGGGAGUUACUUCGGGUUGGUAAGGCAGCUGGUGGAUGCCUAUCCAAGGCUUGAAGUCAUCAAGCGCUCCGUCUGCAUCGAAGGUGCCCGUAGGGCCCUUGCCCAUGCUAAGGUGCACUGGGGCAAGCUGGACGGUGAGAAGCUUGUGAAGGACGGACCACCACCGGGCAAGGAGCAUCGCAAGCCCGAAAUGUAUUAUGAGGGCGUCCUGAAGGGUGCCCGCCUGAUAGCGGGUGAAUGCUCCAAAGAUGUAAUUUUUGAAUAGACUCGCAUUUGUUAUCCUGUAUGCUGAAAACUUGUUCAUAUGCGCUAAGCAACGCUUGUGAAUUUAAAAUAUUACCUUCUGUGCAGUUGUUUAUCAAAAUUUGAGAGAUGGCAAGUCAUUGGCUUCAGGCCCCAUGCCACGAGUGCUGGGGUGUUCGGGAUAAACUUGAGCGCUCUUGUUCCCAUUGUUGGGUCCUUCGAGGGAGGCGCUCAACGCAACGAACAAGGCAACCGGACUUAUAGUGCUUGAACACUCUCACUUAGCCAUAGAAUUCUAUUAUUUUAAAUUUCGGCGAAGCCCCUGGUAUUCGGAAGACCGAAUUCGGGGCGCUAUCCACUCCUUGGCCGGACAAUGCCGGCUCCUCGCUCUAAGCAGCAUAAGUCUUUAGGGACCCGAAAAAACCUCUCGAACAGCGACCAGCUCUCGCCCUAUCAUGACGGUCAGUUUUAGCUUUCUCCACUGAGGUGCUCAACCCAGCUCAACCGGGGCACAAUCGCAGUGGUUCUCCCAGCGCUACCUUAGCCGAUAUAACGGAACGUAAGGUACCAAAACAUGGGAGCCGGGCAAACCCAACUAUUGACCCAAGACAUGAUUCGGAGCCGAUGCAUAUAAUGCUAUAAGUUCGGGGUGCCGCACGUGUGAAAGUGUUCGGACUUGUCACACCAUGCUUUUGGGGUACAUAAGCCCCUGGUGUGGUGGCCGUACCAAAUUGUAUGGUUGCGCAAUGUCAUAGAUGAACAUAUACAAUGGGAAAGAAUGCAAUAUUAGGCAAGAGCUAUAUGUUGUUUAUUCAAAAGAAACUGCAAAUAAAAGAAGAACAAUACAAAUUUGGCGAUAAGCAAGGUGUGGGACUUUUGACAUGUCCCCCUUCCAGGGGUAAGUUUGCGGUGUGGUAUGUAAAACAGGUGUACUGCUCGUAAUAGAGACCACCUGGACACUUGACGCAGUUUUCUGCUUCCCUGGCUGUUGCAUCUAGUUGACACGAAUGCCGGACAGGGCUUCUGGAGAACAGAGUCCUGAAAGUAAAAAGAAAAAGAAAAAAAAAGAAAAAAAGGAAUGACACAAACGGGAGCCCCUAGUGCGGUCUAGCCGCAUUCUGGGCAUGCCGUGGUCGUGACCCGUCCCCUAUGCCCAUGGUCCUUCAGAGCGCAAUUACGUGCGCGUAGUACUGGCUUCGCGAGUUCGCUAGGGCUGGGGUUGGGGCCGCAUUACUACGCUUGUUCGGAACGUGCCAGGCGGUCUUGCUGUAGGUUACUCUGGGCGUGCUUGACAGUGUCCGAUUGUUUAUUGGCCGGACUGGAGGAUUGCCUUAAGAGGCUGUUCUGCACUUCUGCCGCAAGGGCGGCCGUAUGCUCCUCCGUUCGGAGGGAGCAUUCGGUGUUUCCAUUGACCGUGAUUACGCCUCGAGGGCCUGGCAUCUUGAGCUUGAGGUACGCUUAGUGCGGCACCGCAUUGAAUUUUGCGAAUGCGGUUCGCCCGAGCAGUGCGUGAUAGCCGCUGCGGAACGGGACUAUGUCGAAGAUUAACUCCUCACUCCGGAAGUUAUCCGGGGAUCCGAAGACCACUUCAAGUGUAACGGAGCCUGUACAGUUGGCCUCUACACCUGGAAUGAUGCCUUUAAAGGUCGUCUUUGUGGGUUUGAUUCUUGACGGGUCUAUGACCAUUUUGCGCACUGUAUCCUGAUAAAUCAGGUUCAGGCUGCUGCCGCCGUCCAUCAGGACUCUGGUGAGGUGAAAUCCGUCAAUAAUUGGGUCAAGAACCAAUGCGGCGAAACCGCCGUGACGGAUGCUAAUGGGGUGGUCCCUUCGAUCAAAGGUGAUCGGGCAAGAAGACCAUGGGUUGAACUUCGGGGCGACUGGCUCCAUCGCAUAUACGUCCCUUAGUGCACGCUUUCGCUCCCUUUUGGGUAUGUGGGUUGCGUAUAUCAUGUUCACCGUCCUCACUUGUGUGGGAAAGCCCUUCUGCCAUCGAUUGUUCGGCGGCCGGGCUCUUCCUCGUCAUCGCUAUGCAGCCCCUUGUCGUUGUUUUCGGCGUUUAGCUUGCCUUCUUGCUUGAACACCCAACAAUCCCUGUUGGUGUGGUUGGCUGGUUUUUCGGGGGUGCCAUGUAUCUGGCACAAGCGAUCGAGUAUUCGGUCCAAGUUGGAUGGGCCCUGGGUAUUUCUUUUGAAUGGCUUCUUCUGCUGACCGGGUUUAGAGCCUCUGAAUCCGGCAUUUACUGUCGUAUCUGUAAGUGCAUCUAGUGCCCCUUAGUGAUUUUGGUGUAUUGAAGACUUAUAGGUUAAGGGACUAAUGCGUUUGUGAGUAUACACAGGUCUAUAAGUCUAUGAGAAGUUUGAUAUUUACAGAGAAAGUCGACCCCUAAAAAUGAAGUUCUUCGACUGAAGACUUUGAUAUUCUGAAGACUUUCUGAAGACUUUGAAAGUGAAGAAAUUGGUGUGACUUUGAAGACUUGAUAUUCAUUUGAGGAACAUGAAGCGUGAAGACUUUUGUUUUCGUAGUUUCGUUUUUAUCUUUCUUGAGUCAUAGGAAACACCGUACUGUUAAAGGGGGUCGAGGAAAUACUAAGGAAAAAUUUCCAUGUGAUGCUCAACUCAAAAUCCUACACCUACCAAUCCCUUCGAGUGAAGCCUUUGGAAAUCUCAUACAGUCCAGUCAAUUUCAUCAGUGACAGAGACGAAGUUCUUCUGGUCGCUGAGGAAUUUGUUCUGACUGAGGAGUUAGGAAUUCGCCAGUGCGGAUUGCCUACAUAGUGAGGAACAUGAUAGCCCUGAAGAAUUUGAGAGUCAAAUUUCCGACCGUUGUUGUGCUGCGCGCCAGCUGUCCCAAAAUAUCUUAUCCAGCCUCAUGAAUUUGGGACAGCUGGCGCGCAGCACAGCAACGGUCGGAAAUUUGACUCUCAAAUUCUUCAGGGCUAUCAUGUUCCUCGCUAUGUAGGCAAUCCGCACUGGUGAAUUCCUAACUCCUCAGUCAGAACAAAUUCCUCAGCAACCAGAAGAACUUCGUCUCUGUCACUAAUGAAAUUGACUGGACUGUAUGAGAUUUCCAAAGGCUUCACUCGAAGGGAUUGGUAGGUGUAGGAUUUUGAGUUGAGCAUCACAUGGAAAUUUUUCCUUAGUAUUUCCUCGACCCCCUUUAACAGUACGGAGUUUCCUAUGACUCAAGAAAGAGAAAAACGAAACUAUGAAAACAAAAGUCUUCACGCUUCAUGUUCCUCAAAUGAAUAUCAAGUCUUCAAGGUCACACCAAUUUCUUCACUUUCAAAGUCUUCGGAAAGUCUUCAGAAUAUCAAAGUCUUUAGUCGAAGAACUUCAUUUUUAGGGGUCGACUUUCUCUGUAAAUAUCAAACUCCUCAUAGACUUAUAGACCUGUGUAUACUCACAAACGCAUUAGUCCCUUAACCUAUAAGUCUUCAAUACACCAAAAUCACUAAGGGGCACUAGAUGCACUUACAAUCUCCCCCUUUUUGGUGAUUGAUGACAAUAUAGGUUAAGUUUUCAACGGGGAUAAACAUAUGAAGUGUAAAUACUGAUUUUGAGGAAUUUGAUUGCAAGAUAUAGAAGAACUCCCCCUGAAGAUGUGCAUAGUGAGGAAUUUGCUUUUGAGGCAAUGCACACUUGAAGAUUUGAAUCAUGGAGAUCUCCCCCUAUAUCUUGUAAUUCAUACACGCAUUUGAUAUAUAAUAUGAAGAGUUUGAAAUGCAUGAUGAAAUAUGGCGCCUGAUGAAAUUCAGCAUGCGUGCAAUAAUAUUAAUGAGGAAUAAGCAUGCGGAAAAAUGCAUGCAAAGUAUCAGAGCUAGUGCAACAAAAGUAUCAGCGCACCAUCGGGUUUAAGAUUACAACUCGAUCCAAUAAAGUUUCAGAAGAACGAGAGUUGUAACCUAGCAAAAAAAUGCGAUAUAUGCCCAUAUAAUAGAGCCGCUUGAAGACUAACUCAAAUUUCUCCCCCUUUGUCAUCAAAUGACCAAAAGGAUCGAAACUGAGGACUAACGCCCCUGAAGAAUAUCAAGUUGAUGGAGGAGCGCCAGCGUUGUCGGGGUCGGUUGUUGUAGUAGGGCCUGCCGCAGUGUCGUCCAAAUCUUCAUUUUCAUCAGUGUCGCACGAUGAAGAAUAAGAGCUGGCCACCAAUGGAGGAACCUUGACCCUCUUGAAUUUCUUCGGCAGAGGAGCAGACCAGUCAAAUUCUUCCUUGAGACCCAUUGUCUCCAGUUCUUCAGCGCUAUAGACAUGAGUGAGGACAGCCCAGGUGUGGUUGAAUGUUUCAUAAAGGUAGUACUGGUUUUUAUUCACUGCAUUGUGUAUUGAUGUCAUGUUGUGAAGAAUUGCACCAAGCUGAUGCUUGAUCCAUUUAUGAUUGCGAUCAACCUUCUGAUGAAGACUGAGGAGUAACUCACGAUUAGUCAUCACCCUGGGUGCUGUAGCUUGAGGAUUUUGCUUGGCUGAGGUAUUUGCGGCAGAGUCAUGUGUGGCAGAGUCAUCAUUGGUGGAGUAAGAUGCUGCUUUACGGAAUAGACCAUCCAAUGGAGGAAUGCCUUCAUCUAUCACAGCAGUGGCCUUGCCUUUGUCAUCAGCUGAGGAAACUGUCCGUUUGAGAACUUCAACUGGAGGCAAGUAGCUGCAGUGGUUCAGAGUAUCAGCUUUGUAAUUGAGUGAAGACCUUGCCCUGAUGAAUCUCAUAAUCCAAGGCGCAUAAGGCUUCAGCUCAAAUGGUGACAUAGCAAUGUCGCCAGAGUCCUCAUGAAGAAAUCAUAGAAGUUUAUGGGAACGCCAUGAAUGAUGUUGAAAAGCAUAUUCCUCAUGAUGCCAACGACUUCUUCAUCAUUUGAGUCGUGGCCUUUGAUAGGACUCAUUGUCUUCGUCAGAAUCCGAUAGAAAGUCCGAGGCACAUAUAGUAAUUCCUUGACGAGGAAUUUGGUUCGUGGGGCCUGCCCUGGCUUCAAUGGCUUCAUUAGCACUUGCAUAUAGUGAUUUGUCAGUUCAGGGUCACUGUAGAUGCAACGUGCACUAUCAAGGGGAGGACUGAGAGGAAGGACACGAAGCAAUUCAGUUGCUGGUGCCUUGUAGUGAGUGUUUUCAGACAUCCAGUCCAACACCCAUGAGUUCACAUCUGCAGAGUUGCCUGUGAUGUGUAGUGUUGCGUAGAACUGAAGAAUGAGUUCUUCAUGCCAAUCACAGAUGUCAGUGCAGAAAUUCAGUAGUCCUGCAUCGUGAAGAACACUGAGGACUGGCUCGAAGCACGGCAGAGAUUCCAUGUCCACAUGAGGAAUAUGUGCAUGAUCGAAGAUUUUGUCCUUGUUGAAUAGCACCGAGGAAUAGAAAUUAGCUUGGCUUGCAGUCCAGAAACGCCUCUUCCUUCUGCGAGCAGAGUCAUAAGGAUUGUAAUCAGUGAAGAAAACAUGCUCGCCAUAGAAGUCUUCAGCCUUGAACUUCUGUUUACUUGAGAACGGAUUCUUCAGCUUUGGCAGAGUGGUGUCAGUGAGUUGCAUCACCACUUCAGGAAUCACGAGCUCAGGUUCUUCAGGCUAAGGAAUUUCUGGUUCCUCUUCAUGUGCAGUCUGAGGAUCAGCAGCAGUAGCAGGUUCGUCAGCACUAGCGGCUGGAAUUUCUUCAUGCACAGAGGGAGUGGGAUGAGUUGCUUCAGAGCCCAAUUGAACUGUUGGUGCAGGGGACUGAGGAAUUUGUUGGAUUGGGGUGAAGAGUGGUGAAUUUGGAUGCUGACUAUCCCAAAAAUCAUCAUUCAACACUGGCGUGGUGCAUCCAAUGUCCACAUCUUCAUCUUAAAUUUCCUCAACACCAGCCUCUUCAGCUGUGAACUGAGGCAUAGGCGAGGAAAUGAUUGGAGUUGAAGGGAUAGCAUCCACCUCAAUUUCUUCAUCAAUCUGCUCUGACGAAGCAGCAGAAUGAUUUUCUUCAUCAGAUCCGCUUGGGAUCACAUAGUCUUCACCAAAAGGAACAAGGUCCUUUGAUGGCAUGGAGGAAAUCGGAACAGCAUCAAUUGGAUCAUCAAAUGAGCUGGUCAUUGGCUUCAUUUUCUUCACAGCCGAAGAGUUUGACGCAGCUGAUGCCUUCCUUUUCUUCACUGCAGCUUGCUCUGCAGCCUUGGUCUUUUUCACAUCAGAGGCAGAUGGAAGAAUUGGAGUUGGUGUUGGCGCAGGAGGAGCUGAGGAAUCAGGAUGAAUUUCCUCAGGCGCAACUGAUGCAGUUGCCCUGAUCUCUUCAGUUUCUUCAGGCGCACCACUAGUGGAUGCCCUGGCAAUUUCUUCAGCGGCUGGAAUUGAGUCAUCAGCCCUGGAACUAGCAUUGUCAUCAGCAGGCUGAAAAUCAUCAGCCAUGCUGGCAUGUUCUUCAGCAGGCUGAGCAGGGGCUGCAGCCUGAGGAAUUUCCUGUUGUGUUGGGGUUGCAACAUUUGUGAAAUUCUUUGUCAGGUUGACGAAUCUGACCUUGGCUCCUUGCCAAUCAGGAUAAUAAGCAUCAAAGUCUUUGCUGAGAGUUUGGAUUUCAGUUUGAGCCUUGAGAAGUUCCUGAGGUGUCAUUCUGACAACGUUUUUCUUCAGGAGCUUCUCCUUUCUGUAUUGAGCUUUCUUGAUCUGCCUGGCCUUCUCAAAUUUCCAUUUCUCUUCAGCGAUGAAAUGGGUCAGCAUGUGACUUUGACCAGGAGUCAGAUGAAAAUCGGGCAUAGGGGUGUUAGGAUCCUUGUGCCAGAGGUCAAUGUAAUCGAGGAUUUUCUUCGGAUCCAAAAGCAGUGGCAGAGAUGUGCCUUUGGCUCUAGCGGCCUUCGCUUGGCGGUCUCUGAUGAUUUCUGCAAGUUCAUCAUCAGAAGCUUCAUCAUCAGAAGGCACAUGGAAUGCGACCUAUUUCUUUUUCGGACUUGGCCGAGGACCUCGUCCAGCAGUUGCUUUGGUCUUCAACAGUGUGGGACCUGAUGAGGAAAUUGGUGCAGCUGAGGAACUUGCUGAGACACCAGAGGAAAUCGAGAAACCAGCAGUCCUUUGACAUGUAGCCAGAUGCACAUGAGCUGAGGACUUUGAAGGAACUGCUGAGGACUUUGGUGGAGUAGGAGCAGUAUGAGGAAUUUGCCGUGAGGGCAUUUGUGAGGAACUUGGCCGUGAGGGCGCUGUUGGUGAAGCACUUGGCUUACGAGCAGGCUUCUUUGGCAUAGAUUUCCUUGUUUUGACAGAGGCCUCAGUAGCAGUAGCAGUGGCAGAAUCCUCAUUGAAUUUCUUCACUGCUUCCUUGGCUUGUCUUGCCAAUUUAGCUUGGCACUUGGCCCAUUCUUCAGGAAAGUCCUCACCAUGCUUGAUGCUGGUGGGAUCAGCUACUUGGCCAGGUGCCAAUGGAGCUCUUGGGAAUGGAGGAUUGAGGGCGAAUUUCCUCAUGUACUUUGGAGUAACGUAUCUGUAUUCCCUCCAUUCCCUUGCCCAUCUCCGUUCAAUCCUCUGAAUGCGCACCUUGCGCUGAUUUUUGUUUUCUUUGCCAAAUUUGGCUUCAUCAGGUGUGCAGUAAUCAGCAUAUAUUUCCUCAGGGAUGUCAAACACAGUCAUAACCUCAGGCUUCUUUCCACCUUUCUAGGGCUUCUUACCGUCAGCCAUAGUCUUCAGAUGAGUAAUUUGAACAAUCGAAUUCUCUGAAGAAGUGCGCAACUUUUCUUCGAGGAACGCUGCAAAUGAGUUAAGUUGAUGAGAACCUAGUGAUUCAGCAGCGGACAUUUGUACCUAUGAACAGAGUAUAGUUGCGAGGAAUUUGGAGAGGUCAUAUGUGUUCUCAGAAGGGUUUUCAAAAAGAAAACAAGUUUUGAGGAUUUUGACCAGAUGUGCCUUGAAGAAUUUCACUAAGCGUUCUUUGUCUUAGGUUCCAGAGUUGUAUAGAUCGAGGAUCCACACAAUUGAGGAAUCUUGAAGAAAAAUCAUUGCUUAGAGAAACGAAUCAAGAGCAUAUGACGUGUGAGGUGUUCAUAUGUGUGAAGAUUUGAAGAAUAAACACCUUUGAAGAUUUUCAGGAAAGCUUGAGAAUCAAAGCGAGUAAUAAAAGUAACUUUUAAUUACCCGAAGUGAAGAACACGACGAACUGAGAAGAAUAUAUGGGAAGUUCGUCAGGUUAGAUCUUCCUUGCCCUAACUUGGCGGAGGAAGAAAGCUACGGCGGCGGUGGAGUGAGGAUUUCCGCAACCGGCGCGAGUACGACGGCGACGAGGUCGAGGCAGUGAAGCUCUUCCUCACCGGCGACGAUGGAGUAGCGGCGGCGCUAGGGUUUGAGGAGCUCGAGCGGGAGAGAGAACGGUCGAGCGGAGUAAAAGAAGUGAGGAAGGGAAGAGGGGUAUUUAUAGACACGGUGAAAAACUAUUCGCCCGAAGAUUUGGGACGAAUGUGCCCCUGCCCUUUCUCCUUCACAUGACAUGUGUCACCCAUGUACUGUGUAGUUGAGAUCGUGUACGAUCGUGGGUGAAUAGAGUAAUGCAUCGUGGGAUGCGGAACGGUUUGAGCGGCAAAACCGAAAGUUUGGAUAAGAUCAAUUUUAAAGUUCCGUUUGCAAUUUCUUCAGCUGACAAGGACACAGUGAAGAUUUUGAACGAGUUUCAAAUAGAACGCACAUGAAGAAUUUUCGAAUAGAUUGGGUUGAGUAUAGCAUAGAGGGGGAAGGGUCCGAUCACAUUCACUUAGCAGAAAAACGCAACAUGAAGAAAUAGCCAUAAGUGAAUGCUGUAGAGGACAUAAACUCAUAUAUAUAUAUAUAUAUAUAUAUAUAUAUAUAUAUAUAUAUAUAUAUAGCCAAUGAAGAAAAACGACGGAAACGGUGAAGAUUUUGCAAAGUUGAAGAAUUUGAAAAACUGAAGAAUUUCAGAAGCUGAGGAAAAACUCAAAUUCGAAGAUUUUCAACUUUGGUGGUGGCGUGACCCACCGUAUAAGAAUGAUGAUUUCAGACACCGCGUACAAUUGUCGUUGGGUUCUGAGAAUCAAAUUCUUCAUUAAUUUCUUCACACUUAGAGUGUUAUUCUUCAUUGAUUGAAGAAAAAGAUUUCUUCAUGUGUUGCACAUCUAAGUCAUCAAUUUUGCAUAAGUGUCAGGAUGUGUGUCCUUUUCAAAGAACAUUCGAAGAUUAUAAGAUAUUUAGCUCACACCGCAACUUGCUAAAUGUCUUCUCAUCCAAGGGCUUAGUGAAGAUAUCAGCUAGCUGUUCUUCAGUCUUCAUGUGCUUGAUGGAGAUGUCACCCUUCAACACAUGAUCACGAAGAAAAUGAUGACGAAUCUGGAUGUGCUUUGUCUUCGAGUGCUGAACUGGGUUGUGAGCAAUCUUGAUGGCACUCUCAUUGUCACAGUAGAGAGGCACAUUCUUCAUGUUGACGCCGUAGUCCUUGAGAAUUUGCUUCAUCCAUAGUAGUUGAGCGCAGCAAGAGCCAGCAGCAAUGUAUUCAGCUUACGCAGUAGACAGUGAUACGCAGUUCUGUUUCUUCGAGGACCUACAGACCAAAGAUUGUCUGAGGAAAUGACAAGUGCCAGAUGUUGACUUGCGGUCCACACGAUCACCAGCAUAGUCAGAGUCAUAAUAUCCAAUGAGAUCAAAGGCAGAGCCCUUGGGGUACCAUAAUCCUAGUGUUGGUGUGUGAGCUAGAUAUCGAAGAAUAUGUUUCACAGCCUUAUGGUGUGAUUCCUUCGGUGAAGCUUGAAAUCGGGCACACAUGCAAACACUAAGCAUUAUAUCUGGCCUAGAUGCACAUAUGUACAAUAAAGAACCAAUCAUGGAGCGAUAUACCUUGUGAUCGAAGUCAAUACUAUUUUCAUCAGUGCAUAGAUGGCCAUUUGUGGGCAUAGGAAUUUUGACGCCUUUGCAAUCUUGCAUGCCGAAUUUCCUCAGUACAUCUUUGAGGUAUUUCUCCUGAGAUAUGAAUAUGCCAUUGCGCUGUUGACGAAUUUGAAGACCUAAGAAGAAUUUCAACUCUCCCAUCAUAGACAUUUGAUAUUCUUCACUCAUCAUAUAGGCAAAUUCAUCACUAUAACGUUGGUCAGUACAACCAAAGAUAAUAUCAUCAACGUAUAUUUGGCACACAAACAGUUCACCAUCAUAAGAUUUAGUAAAAAGAGUAGGGUCGAGUGAACCGGGUGUGAAGCCAUUCUUCACGAAGAAUUCCUUCAAUGUAUCAUACCACGCCCGAGCGGCUUGCUUGAGACCAUAGAGAGCCUUGUUGAGUCUGAAGACUUUGUCAGGAUUCUUUGGAUCUUCAAAACCUGGGGGUUGAGCAACAUAUACUUCUUCCUCAAGCUUACCAUUGAGGAAUGCACUUUUCACAUCCAUUUGAUAUAAGAUGAUAUCAUGAUGGUUAGCAUAAGCAAGUAAUAUGCGAAUAGCCUCAAGUCUAGCAACAGGUGCAAAAGUUUCAUCGAAAUCAAUUCCUUCAACCUGUGUGUAGCCUUGAGCUACAAGACGUGCCUUAUUCCUCACCACAAGACCAUUUUCAUCUUGCUUGUUGCGAUAGAUCCACAUUGUGCCAAUGAUAUUAUGCUUGCGAGGAGCUGGACGUUUGACCAGUUCCCAGACAUUGUUGAGCUCAAACUGAUGUAAUUCUUCUUGCAUGGCCUGAAUCCACUCAGGCUCCAGAAAUGCUUCAUCUACCUUAGUGGGCUCUGUGAUAGAGACAAAAGCAUAGUGCCCACAAAAGUUAGAUAAAUGUGAAGCUUUUGAGCGUGUGAGAGGACCUGGCGCUUCAAUGUCAUCGAUGAUCUUGUCAACUUGUACUUCUGUUGCAACGCGAGGAUGACCUGGUUGUCGUCGAGGUAUUUGAUCAUUUUCCUCAGCACCAUUGUCUUCAGCAUUAUCUUCAGGUGCAUCAGCUCGACGUUCUUCGCGUACUGGAAUGAAUUCUUCAGUAGAUUCUUCAGUAGGAAUGACAUCCUCAGUUGCCUUGAACUUAAUAGAUUCUUCAGGUGCUGGUUCAUCUAACACAGAAAGUAGGUGCUCUCUUUGCGAGCCAUUAGUUUCAUCGAACCGCACAUCUACAGUUUCAACAACCUUGUGAAGGGCGAUGUUGAAGACCCUGUAGGUGUGCGAGUCCUUUCCGUAACCAAGCAUAAAACCUUCAUGUGCUUUCGGUGCAAAUUUAGCAUUGUGAUGAGGAUUUCUAAUCCAACAUUUAGCACCGAAGACUUUGAAAUAACUCACAUUGGGUUUCUUGUUAGUGAGGAGUUCAUAGGCAGUCUUCUUGAAGAAUUUGUGAAGAUAUACUCUGUUGAUGAUGUGGCACGCAGUAUCAAUUGCAUCAAUCCAAAAAUGAUGAGGCGUUUUGUAUUCAUCAAGCAUAGUGCGAGCCAUCUCAACGAGAGUUCUGUUCUUGCGCUCCACGACGCCAUUCUGCUGAGGAGUAUAAGGAGCAGAUAACUCAUGAGUAAUACCAAGUUCAUCAAGAUAGUCAUCAAGACCGGAAUUCUUGAACUCAGUUCCAUUGUCACUCCUGAUGUGCUUGAUCUUCACACCAAAGUUGGUUGAAGCCCUCGAGGAAAAUCGUUUGAAGACUUCCUGCACUUCAUGUUUGUAAGUAACAAUGUGUACCCAUGUGUAACGAGAGUAAUCAUCAACAAUAACAAAACCAUAAAGUGAUGCAUCAUUGGUGACUGCUGAGUAAUGAUUAGGUCCAAAGAGGUCCAUGUGAAGCAAUUCGAAUGGACGAGUAGUGGUCAUGAUAGUCUUCGCUGGAUGCUUGGCCUUGGUCAUUUUUCCAGCUUCACAGGCACCGCAUAAGUGAUCCUUGAGGAAUUUGACAUUCUCAAUGCCAAUGACAUGCUUCUUCUUCGCAAGCGUGUGCAAAUUCCUCAUGCCUGCGUGACCAAGUCGUCGAUGCCAUAGCCAGCCUUCUGAAGCUUUUGCAAGUAGACACACGGCUGGUUGUGGUCCUGUAGAGAAAUCAACAAUAUACAAGUCUCCUCUCCUAAAGCCUUCGAAGACUUUGGAAUUGUCAGCUUCCAUGAUCACAACACAACGAUACUUGCCAAAGACAACAACCAUAUCAAGAUCACAAAGCAUUGAGACUGCCAUAUCUGCGCUUGUCAUUUGAGAGCAACCCAUCCUCCGAGGACUUUGAGCGAAAAUCAUCGAGUGAGGAAAAACCCCAAACCCAACACCUACAAACCCAAAGUGAUUGAGCAUCACUGAAGAGAUUGAUCCUACGUGGAUCCGACGCUUGUUACCUUUGAAGACUGUGCUUCUUCCAGACGGUUAGGCGUCAUGGUCUAGAGCAUCCAAGAGGAAUUGUGGAUCGCCGAAUGACCAAGUCUGUGAAGGUUUGGAAGUCGCCUGAAGACUUACCACGAGUGAUUGGAAGAGGUCUGUGUGACCUUAGUUCAAGGAGAAUACAGUGAGGACUUGGUGUCCUGAGCUGCGUGCUCAGAGACUGGGUGUCCGGGACUGUGUGUCCUCGAGUUUAAAUACUCAGCCGCUCCAACCAGACGUACAACUGAGACAGCAGUUGGAACUGGUCUACCAAAUCAUUGUCUUCACCAACCUAACUGGUUCCAUUUCCUCAACCUAUUCAAUUUCCUCAUUACUGUGUUAACUGUUUGUUCAUAUAUGUGUUUGAAGACUUUGACUGAAGACUUUCUCAAUUUCCUCAGUUCAAUUUCUUCAGUCUGUUUGUCUUCAUCUUGUGCUAUCCUGUGUUUACGCUUUUUGUACUCUUCAAUUGUCUUCAUUUCAUCAUGAUGACCAUGCAUGUAUUCUGCUAUGCUUACUUCUGAGUACUUAUUCCGCUGCAAGUAGUUCUUCGCUAAGGAAUUUCCUCACCGGCAAAUUCCUCAGUGAAGAAUUCAUAAAAAUCGCCUAUUCACCCCCCCCUCUAGUCGAUAUAACGCACUUUUAGUAUCUUCAGCAUUGUCACCGUUAAUGCGGCGUUUAUGCUUGUUGCGACGUGACCUGCCAUUGCUGUCCUUGGUAUCCGAACUACCAGGGUGUUUGGCCAAGUUGUUGCUUCGAGCUAGCCAGUUGUCCUCUCCCGCGCAAAAGCGGGUCAUGAGUGUGGUGAGGGCUGCCAUGGAUUUCGUCUUUUCCUGUCCUAGGUGCCGGGCUAGCCACUCGUCGCGGAUGUUGUGUUUGAAGGCUGCUAGCGCCUCUGCAUCCGGACAGUUAACGAUCUGAUUUUUCUUUGUUAGGAACCGCGUCCAGAAUUGUCUGGCCGAUUCUUCUGGCUGCUGAAUUAUAUGGCUAAGGUCAUCGGCGUCUGGUGGUCGCACAUAUGUGCCCUGGAAGUUAUCGAGGAAUGCGGCUUCCAGGUCCUCCCAACAACCGAUUGACUCUGCUGGCAAGCUGUUGAGCCAAUGCCGAGCUGGUCCUUUAAGCUUGAGUGGGAGGUAUUUGAUGGCAUGUAGAUCAUCACCGCGGGCCAUGUGGAUAUGGAGUAGAUAGUCCUCGAUCCAGACCGCAGGAUUUGUGGUACCAUCGUAUGAUUCGAUGUUUUUGGGUUUGAAGCCCUCAGGGAUUUGAUGAUCCAUUACUUCAUCUGUGAAGCAUAGUGGGUGUGCGGCGCCUCUGUAUUGGGCUAUAUCACGACAUAGCUCAUAUGAGCUUUGUCUCCUGUGUUCAGCCCGGCCGGGGUUGCUGUAUCCGGCGUGACGGUAAUCAUCCCGAGUCCUUGGGCGCCCACGCAAUCUGUAGAUCGAUCUUGUUUGCUUUGCCUUAUCCUCCAGUAUAUCUCGCAAGUCCGGCGCGUUCUCCCGUGCCUUGGUACUUUUUGAGCGGCGUCGGGGCGUGGCUUGAGCGGAGGGCCGAGAGGCUUCUCUGUCGCGGCCACGGGGUGGCCGGUCUGCCAUGUCGUGCGCUGGUGAUGCCGGUGCUUCCUCCUCUGAUCGAGGCAACGGCCUGCGUUUGGGGUAGCUUUUGGAGGGGCGUUCGAGUUCGUACUCUUCGGCUGCAAGGACUUCGGUCCAUCUGUCAGCUAGCAGGUCUUGGUCAGCUUUAAGCUGUUGCUGCUUUUUCUUGAGGCUGCUUGCCGUGGCCAUGAGCCUGCGUUUAAAACACUCUUGUUCAACGGGAUCCUCUGGCACAACGAAUUCGUCGUCGUCGAGGCUUGCCUCGUCUUCGGAGGGGGGCGCAUAAUUAUCAUCCUCUACCUCUCUUUCUGCCGCACUGUCGUGCGGACUUGCUUCUCCCUCCUCUUGUGCUGAGUCCUGCUGGAGGGGGUCGUCUUAGGCACUGUCCGGAGUAUUAUUGUCUCCCGUGUCGGAAUCACCGUUUUUACUGUGGCGGGAUUUAGAGCGGCGCCGCUGAUGUCGGCGCUUGGGUGGUUUCUUGGAGGGGUCAUCCUCCGCUGUUCCAUCGCCAUUCCCAUCUUUUGGGAUGUCCACCAUGUAUAUGUCAUAUGACGAGGUAGCCUUCCAGUGCCCCGUGGGCGCUGGCUCUGGAUCGUCUCCGGCACCGUCGUCCAUACCAUCGAUGUCUUUGGAGUCGAAGUCGAGCAUGUCGGUUAAAUCAUCGACAGUGGCUACAAAGUGGGUGGUGGGUGGGCGUUGAAUUUCUUCGUCGUCUGAAUCCCAACCUUCCUGACCGUAGUUCGGCCAGGGCUCCCCUGACAAAGAGAGAGACUUUAAUGAGUUCAGGAUAUCGCCAAAGGGCGAGUGCUGAAAGACGUCCGCGGCGGUGAACUCCAUAACCGGUGCCCAGUUGGAUUCGACUGGCAGGGGCGCGGGAGGUUCGGAGUCCGGAAAAGAGUCCGGCACCUGGGAGUCACGAGCUUCGCAAAAGACAGGGAUGGUGUUCGGCUCAAUCGCCAUAGAGAUUUCAGCCCCCGAGGCGGUGUCCAACCAACCGUCCUCGAUCGGCGAAACCGGCUCCGGAUUAAGGGUCGGAGCGGGCACUGGUGCGGCCUCUAGGGUACUGUUCGGCGGCAGAGCUAGAUCGUACCCAUCGAGACAGUGUGACACGCUUGGCCGUGGCUCGAAUCCGUCGAAGAUCAAGUCUCCGUGGACAUCGGCCGUAUAGUUCAAGCUUCCAAAUCUGACCUGAUGGCCAGGGGCGUAGCUUUCAAUCUGCUCCAGAUGGCCUAGCGAAUUGGCCCGCAGUGCAAAGCCGCCGAAUACGAAGAUCUAUCCGGGGGGAAAAAUCUCACCUUGGACUGCGUCAUUGCUGAUGAUUGAAGGAGCCAUCAGGCCUAUAGGUGACGACACAGAGGAACUCUCAAUGAAAGCACCAAUGUCGGUGUCAAAACCGGCGGAUCUCGGGUAGGGGGUCCCGAACUGUGCGUCUAGGCGGAUGGUAACAGGAGACAAGGGACAUGAUGUUUUUACCCAGGUUCGGGCCCUCUCGAUGGAGGUAAUACCCUACUCCUGCUUGAUUAAUAUUGAUGAUAUGGGUAGUACAAGAGUAGAUCUACCACGAGAUCAGAGAGGCUAAACCCUAGAAGCUAGCCUAUGGUAUGAUUGUUGUUCGUCCUACGGACUAAAACCCUUCGGUUUAUAUAGACACCGAAUAGGGUUAGGGUUACACAGAGUCGGUUACAAUGGUAGGAAAUCUACAUAUCCGUAUCGCCAAGCUUGCCUUCCACGCCAAGGAAAGUCCUAUCCGGACACGGGACGGAGUCUUCAAUCUUGUAUCUUCAUAGUCCAGGAGUCCGACCAAAGAUGAUAGUUCGGCUAUCCGGACACCCCCUAGUCCAGGACUCCCUCAAUAAGCAUUAAAAAUUUCUUGUCUAUCCAUAAAGUCAUCGAAUUCAUCUAAGCAUGGGCUAUGAAAUUUAGUAGAGGGGAUUUCAACUUUAUCAUAUCCAUAGAGAGAACUUACCUUUACUACCUGUGUCGGGUUAUCAAGACAAUGUGGUUCUUCAACAGGCAGUAUAUUAAGACCAUGUAUUUCUUCAAUAGGUGGUAAAUUCUUAACAUCUUCAGCUUUAAUACCUUCUUCUUUCAUUGAUUUCUUUGCCUCUUGCAUAUCUUCAGGACUGAGAAAUAAGACACCUCUCUUCUUCGGAGUGGGUUUAGGAAUAGGCUUAGGAGUUGGCUCAAUUGGUUCAGGAAUUGCUUCAGAAAUUGGCUCAGGAAGAGUCCGAUUAUUUUCAUUAGUCAACAUAUUAUUCAAUAGUAAUUCAGCUUCGUCGACGGUUCUUUCCUGAAAACACAACCAGCACAACUAUCCAAGUAGUCCUUGGAAGCAUCGGUUAGUCCGUUAUAAAAGAUAUCAAGUAUUUUAUUUUUCUUAAGAGGAUGAUCAGGCAAAGCAUUAAGUAGUCGGAGAAGCCUCCGCCAAGCUUGUGGGAGACUCUCUUCUUUGAUUUGCACAAAAUUAUAUAUUUCCCGCAAGGCAACUUGUUUCUUAUGACCAGGGAAAUAUUUAGCAGAGAAGUAAUAAAUCGUAUCCUGGGGACUACGCACACAACUAGGAGCAAGAGAAUUAUACCAAGUCUUAGCAUCACCCUUUAAUGAGAACAAAAAUAUCUUAAGGAUAUAAUAAUAGCACGAUUUAUCAUCAUGAGUAAACAGGGUGGCUAUAUCAUUCAACUUGGUAAGAUGUGCCACAACAGUUUCAGAUUCAAGGCCAUAAAAAGGAUCAGAUUCAACUAAAGUAAUGAUUUCAGGAUCAAUAGAGAAUUCAUAAUCCUUAUCAGUAACACAGAUAGGUGAAGUAGCAAAUGCAGGGUCAGGUUUCAUUCUAGCAUUAAGAGAUUGCUGCUUCCAUUUAUCUAAUAACUUUUUAAGAUCAUAUCUAUCUUUACAAGCAAAGAUAGCUCUAGCAGCUUCCUCUUCCAUAACAUAACCCUUAGGAACAACAGGCAAUUCAUAAUCAUUGGGAGAACUUUCAUCAUCACUAUCAUCAAUAAUAGCAUCUUCAAUAAUUUCAUUCUCUCUAGCCGUAGCAAGUUGUUCAUCAAGAAAUUCACCUAAUGGCAAAGUAGUAUCACACACAGAAGUAGUUUCAUCAUAAGUAUCAUGCAUAGCAGAAGUGGCAUCAUCAAUAACAUGCGACAUAUUAGAAUUCAUAGCAGUAGCAGGUUUAGGUGUCGCAAGCUUACUAAUAACAGAAGGAGAAUCUAGUGCAGAGCUAGAUGGCAGUUCCUUACCUCCCCUCGUAGUUGAGGGCAAAAUCUUGGUUCUUUCAUCUUUCAAGUUCCUCAUAGUGAUCAACAGAUAUAAUCCCAAGUCACUCAAAGAAUAGAGCUAUGCUCCCCGGCAACGGCGCCAGAAAUUAGUCUUGAUAACCCACAAGUGUAGGGGAUUGCAACAGCUUUCGAGGGUAAAGUAUUCCACCUAAAUUUAUUGAUUCGACACAAGGGGAGCCAUAGAAUAUUAUUGAGUAUUAGCAGUUGAUUUGUCAAUUCAACCACACCUGGAUAACUUAGUAUCUGCAGCAAAGUAUUUAGUAGCAAAGUAGUAUGAUAAUAAAGGUAACAGUAGCAAAAGUAAUGUUUUUGGGUUUUGUAGUGAUUGUAACAAUAGCAACGGAAAAGUAAAUAAGUGAAACACAAUAUGUGAAAAGCUCGUAGGCAUUGGAUCAAUGAUGGAUAAUUAUGUCAGAUGCGAUUCCUCAUGUAAUAGGUAUAACAUAGGGUGACACAGAACUAGCUCCAGUUCAUCAAUGUAAUGUAGGCAUGUAUUCCGAAUAUAGUCAUACGUGCUUAUGGAAAAGAACUUGCAUGACAUCUUUUGUCCUACCCUCCCGUGGCAGCGGGGUCCUAGUGGAAACUAAGGGAUAUCAAGGCCUCCUUUUAAUAGAGAACCGGAACAAAGCAUUAACACAUAGUGAAUACAUGAACUCCUCAAACUACGGUCAUCACCGAGAAGUAUCCCGAUUAUUGUCACUUCGGGGUUGUCGGAUCAUAACACAUAAUAGGUGACUAUAGACUUGCAAGAUAGGAUCAAGAACACACAUAUAUUCAUGAAAACAUAAUAGGUUCAGAUCCGAAAUCAUGGCACUCGGGCCAUAGUGACAAGCAUUAAGCAUAGCAAAGUCAUAGCAACAUCAAUCUCAGAACAUAGUGAAUACUAGGGAUCAAACCCUAACAAAACUAACUUGAUUACAUGGUAAAUCUCAUCCAACCCAUCACCGUCCAGCAAGCCUACGAUGGAAUUACUCAGGCACGGCGGCGAGCAUCAUGAAAUUGGUGAUGGAGGAUGGUUGAGAUGACGACGGCGACGAAUCCCCCUCUCCGGAGCCCCGAACAGACUCCAGAUAAAGCCCACCCGAGAGAGAUUAGGGCUUGUAGGCGGCUCUGUAUCGUAAAACACGAUGAAACUUUAUCCCUGGUUUUUUUCUCCGUGAGACGGAAUAUAUGGAGUUGUAGUUGAGGUCGGCGGAGCCUCAGGGAGCCCACGAGACAGGGGGGCGCGCCCACCCCACCAUCGUGGACAGGGUGUGGGCCCCCUGGUCUUGAUUCUUUUGCUAGUAUUUUAUAUAUUUCCCAAAAAGUGCCUCCGUGGAUUUUCAGGUCAUUUCGAGAACUUUUGUUUUCUACACAUAAAACAACACUAUGGUAGUUCUGCUGAAAACAACGUCAGUCCGGGUUAGUUUCAUUCAAAUCAUGCAAGUUAGAGUCCAAAACAAGGGCAAAAGUGUUUGGGAAAGUAGAUAUGUUGGAGAUGUAUCAGAUGUCAUUUGAGUUGGGCGAGCCGCCAAAGGGAGAUGCUUAUAGUCCAAGCGUUUUUGCUUUCAUAUGUUGUUACCCUAUGCUGAAACCUAUGUGGGUUGUCCCCAGCAUGUUCUCUUCAUAUAUGUGAUGGCUGAUAGUUUUGAUGCACUGUUUGUGUUGCUUGCAGUAGCAGCUUUGGCUGUAAGGUCAAGAUAUUUUGACUUUCUGUAGAUGUGGUGGGCAGCCAGUUUAAAACUUUCAUGUUUUUAGAGGAAAAGGGCUCACGCCCUGGUUCCAUUUGUAAUAACAAAACCACAGAACAUUGUUCAAAGCUACAAGGCGCGCGGGGGAAUAACGGCAAAAUGCAGCCCCAGUAGAACUCUAAGCAGUCUAUGCUCCUCUCUCAUGGACCGUCUCCCAGCGGGAUGCAAGCCAGGGAGAAGACAAAGAGCAAAAGAGCAAAAACAGUAUUGAGUACAUCAUACACCAAAAUGACAUAAUAUUUCUAAAUUUCGGAUCCUGGCACCGGGUGCAUAUUUUUUUGGGUCUUCAGAGCGAGACUCCAGUCCUGAAGCAAGGUCUUGUCGCUCCAGAGCAUUGGUUCAAGCCUAGCCAGGGUCCGGCCAUAGAAGGAGGGGCGGUGCUCGUGCCAUUUGUUCCAGACAUUGCACCAGGAGAUGACAUCUCCUUUUGGCCAGGUCCGCGCACUUGAUCUCCCACGAGGCCAAAGUGGAAGCUGUUUUUUGCCAUAGUAUCUACAUCCCAUACCAAGGGAAAACAUUAAAGCAAAUCUCAUUUCGAUAUCUCCAAAGAUCCCACAGUGCAGCUGCAUGAAGCAUAAUAUCUGUUGUGUUAUUACAAUUUCUAGCCCACCAUUCAAGUACAUCAUGCGAUUUCAUCUCGCUAGUACCCCCGCGGGAGCCAAAAAUCUCUCUCCAGAGUUCUCUCGAAACCACACAUUCAAAAAAAAUAAAUGAUUAACAGAUUCCAGUUCUUUACAGUACAGACAGAUAGCAUCUUCUACAUGCUGUCUUUUUUGCAAAUUAUCCCUGGUUAGCAGUUUGUUUUUAACUAGCAACCAAAGGAAAAUCUGUACUUUUGAGGGACAUUGGCUUUCCAAAUCAUAGUAAUGUUAUCUGGAAGCAAUCCCCUAAAAUUCACAAAAUUAUAAAAGGAUUUAACUAUGUAAAUCCCUUUGGACUCCAAGUCCCAAAUAAUAGUGUCGUCACUAUCAUUCAACACCAGAUCCUUAACUAAACUAAAAAGCUCAUUCCAAGCCGCAAGCAUAUCCGGCGAGAAGCACCUCCUGAAGUUGAUUUUCAGGUUCAUACCAUCCCAGACCUGACUGAUAGAAACGUUAGUGGAAUUAGCAAUAUUGUACAUCUCCCAAAAGCUGGUGGCAAGAGUAGUAUUGCCUGUCCACUGGUCUUCCCAAAACCUAAUACUCUUGCCAUUGCCAACCUUCCAGGAAAAAGCCUACCUUGGCUGCUUUAAUAGCCCAAAGUAUUCCUUUCCAUAGACGGGAGGAUCCAGUAUCAGGAUAGGCAAAAAUAUUAGGACUAUGGGUUCUGUAUUUGGCAUCAAUAACUUGUUUCCAAAUUUUACCAUUAUCAUUGAAUAUCUUUUACUCCAGGAGGCUAACAGACUAAGAUUCAUGUCAGCAAUGUCAGGGAUGCCCGGGCCACCAUAUUGUUUCUUAAGGGUUACAUUAUCCCAAAAAUCUAGAUGGUAUCUAUGGUGACCCUCAUAGUCAUCCCAAAAACAGUGAGCAAAUUGACAGUUAAUCAUCUUACUAGCCCACUUGGGGAAUUUAAUGAUCCCCAUAAGAUAGCAAGGAAUCCUAGCUAAGCAAGAUUGGACCAGGGUAAGCCUCUUACUAGAGGAUAGUAAUCUACCUCUCCAGCCGGCCCCUUUCUUAAUGAUUUUAUCUAUAGUAGGCUGUAGAUACUCUUUUCUAAGUUAGCUAUAAUGGAGAGGAACCCCUAAAUAUUUAAUGGGGAAUUCUCCAAGUUUUCAACCAAGGAUCUGAGCAAAAACAUUAGCUUCCUCUCUGUCAAUGUUUAUAGGGACCAGAUCGCAUUUAUAAAAAUUGAUCCUCAUCCCACAUAAUUGCUCAAAGUAAGAAAGUAACCACUUAAGGUUUGUAGCAUAAGAUAAUUGCUUACUCAAAAAGAGCAGGGUGUCAUCAGCAUAUUGGAUACUAAUGAUGCCUGAGGAUUAGAGAUGGGAAGAAGGCCUUAUAGCUUAUUAUGAUGUCAACGAAUUUACAGUCCGUCCCCAUUAACCACUCGGGCAUCGACCCAGGAAGAAUUUAUUCUAGGGUUUUUGCUAAUCUAUGAUUAACCUCCUUUCAUAAUACUCCCUACCCCCAGGAGAAGUCGAAUCCCCGCUGCCUCCUUGAAAGAGAGAUGUCCUGAACCACUAGACGAUAGGGGCAUCACUAGACGAUAGGGCCAUAUACAACCGCUCGUGAUUAUACUAUAAUCAUAGUAUGAGCAGUUUUUUGGAAUUGUCAAUAUACUCGAAAAGUAUAAAUAGAUCCAAAGCAAAGAGUUUUUCCAACUUUUCUGUUAUGUUUUCAUCUAGGAUUUUUUUAGUUGAUCGUUAUAGAUUAAUUCUCCGUGCUUCAUUUAGUGUUCAGACCAAAAAUGCAUCCAUCCCGCACUAAGUCAUAAAAUUCUCUAAAAAUAUAGAGAAAGUUUCAAAAACAAAGAAAAAAGUGAAUCAAUUUAGUAGA
rnacentral:lncRNA from 1 species